UCUACUUUUCACGUUUGAAUUCAAAACCAUAAUUGUAUCUGUUCUGAUUUAUUUUGUCGUUUCUGUAGAUGUUAAUGCUUUGAAAAUAUAUUAUUUCAAUACAGGCUGAUGGACCUGGAGCCGAGGAGGAGGAAUCUGACAAAUCUAGGUCCGAGGUUAACGAUGAUGAGGAGGAUGAUGAGGAAGGAAGUGGAGAGGUCCUGUGAAUUAACAAUUAACUACAGUUCUUAUUUUAUUGGUCAGAAGAUAAUUAUUUAUGCUGAUGUUUUCAUUGGUCUGUAUGUUGCUUACAAUAGAAUUUAAUGUUUGUUUACAGGAGGAGGAUGAUGAUGAGUAAAGGGACUGUGGGGGGCCAGAAGUUUAGGAUGUGAAGAAAAAUGUCAUGACCUCUACCUUUUGAUUAGUAGUAUCCUAAGAUAAAUAGUUUCUUUUUUCCUUUUAUGGUUUUUAAUUUUUUUUGAAGAGGUUAGUUGAAGAAGAAAAGAAAAAAUUAGUUUUCAGUAGCCAGGCAGUUGCUUAAGCUGCGUCCAUGGCUUUGUACUUUUAUCCUUUUCUAUUAUGCUUAAUGAUAAUGUAGCUAGAAUUUGUCUACGUUUGGCUCGCAUUUUGUUCUUUGAAUUCUUUUCCUAAGCUUUAGCCUUGAGCGCUGAUUCACAUUAAUUGAGUGUGUGUUUUAUUGAUGUGGAAGAUGUAUGAAUCCGUGAUAACUGUUGGAGGAGGUUGCUUUCUUUGCCUUUUUAAUUUUGGGACCAAUUUGUUGUUGGUUGUGUAAACGCCAGCAAUUUGCUAGGUGCCUGCCGAUACAAGAAAAAGAUGCACAGAAAGUAUCUUCGCGAGAUAUUUGGUCAGAACCUAAUCAAGGUAUUAACCUGUGAAAUGGCUUCUAGUUAGGACUUGGCCUUUGAAUAAGAGUUUAGGGAAUUACGAUUUCCAGUUGCGAAUAAUAAUAGGAGCAGGAAAUUACUUAGGACUUGAAUGAAUGCCUGUCGAUAGUGAUCAUAUAUUAUUGGAAUUUCACGGGAUUUCGAGCUUCGUAUUCUUUUCUCAACCUGUUACAUUGGCCAAUUUUUCUUGCAAGUUGCAUUGAGAGGAUUCUAUAAAAAAUAAUUAUACUGCUAAUGCAUAAAAAGUUAAUUUUGAAAAAAUUAAAAUUGUUGUAAUGUUUUUGUAAAUUGAGAGUUUAUGUUUGUUUGCGUCCUUUCAAAAUCAGUACUUGUACACUGCUGCUUAAUUCGCUGCGUUCGAGUUGCCUUUGCUUGUUUUUUUUUUUUUUUUGAUUCCUAUAUUGCUUUUGUUAGGAUCACAUCCCCUGGUCUGGCAAUUCAAUUUUCUAACUGUAAUGCCAGCAAUAUUUUGUAUUUCAAUUCCAAUUGCCCUUACUUUUUAGUGCUGUAGCGUACCUAUUUGUCUUUUUCAAUUUAAUAAAGAUUCGGGAUUGCCCAGUACGGUGUUUAACCUGGAAAACCUUGCACGCAACGAAAUUCUAUGGGCUCUCAUGAAAAAUCCGUUUGAUAAAGAAAAGACUGAAAAGUCAAUCGGUUUUCACCACAUGGGACGAAAAGAUAUUCAUUGGUUUGGGAUUCUGGCCAAUGGGAAGAUGUUGAACGCCAGGCCCCUUUGGCAAAUUCAACGAUUUGAUGACAAAUAUCUUUGGCAUAUUGUAAUAUUGGGUCCAUGUGCCUUUCAUAUUUUAUUUUUUUUUUCUGUGUCUUCAUUAAUUGGAGUAUUAUUCCUUCUCCCUCUCCGCGGUGGAGAGGUUGAGGCUCAAGAAUGGGUCCGUUUUCCGUGUGCAUCGCAUCGUCUACAUUUUGGCACAUGGAAGAUGGAACCAUUGUUAAUUUCUCUAUUUAUUUUUCUGUUCAAUAAUUGAUUGCCAAGUUCUUCUCCUUUGCCUGUUGGGUUCAAAAUAAAUGAUUGUUCAAAAUAAACGGUCGGUGCAAUAAAAUGGCGAAUUUCCAAAAAUAAUGUAAAUGAGAGAAAAAGUCAGAGAAGUGGUGUUGUGUGAUAAUUGAACGGCCUCCGCAAAUGAAAUUAUCAGCUAUUAAAAAAAGAAUUCUUCUCCUUGGCCGUGCACUUGUGUAGGUGGCAUCUUUCCCAUUUCCCACGAAGCUUCUUUUCACCAUAAUUAUUUUCAUUUUACUUAGUCAAGAAUUAGAAAAAAAGGGAAAAGAGACAUUUUACUAAUUACUCUCAUCUUCAAAUUAGAUUUUGUUUUAGCAAUAUAUCUAUCACGUGUUCUCUUCUCUGGAAAAGAGUUAGAUUGAUUAGUAAAGUGUGAGGAGUUAUUUGAUUUAAAACUCCCUAUUGAUAAAAAAAAAAACAAAAUCUCUUAUUCUUUGGUGCAUUAAUCAGUUAUGUUUCACAAUAAAAAGUUAUACCAGCACUUAUCAUCAAAUGAAAGUAUUAUGAGUUUACAUAUACUCCAUACAAUAUUCAUUUCGACCGAGUUUAGUUAAUUAAUUUUUUUUGGAAAAGGUUUUCAUUAAUUAAGUUGAUCACACUUGAAACUUCUCGAGCCAAAACUCUAGCCCACAAAUGUAUAAAGUCCGCACCCAGCUAGCAACUAGGCUCGAGUAUUCGAAAAGAGCGCCAAAACUACGUCGUUGGUCUAAAUUUCGCUUCAAAAAGAAGAGUGAGAGAGUUUUAAAAACCUGCGAGAGCGAAGGGGAGGAAAGAGAGUAGUGAGGCAGCGUCGGAGGAGAAGAGGAGAUAUGGCAGCGGCUGCUCCGGCGAAAUGUUUUCUCGUUACCGGUCCUCCGGUAGUUUAUACUCAUUUCCAAAGCUCUCAAUGCUUUUUUUUUUUUUCUAGAUAAGUUUUAUGAUGUUGAAUAAUUGGUGAAUUUUUGUCCGCAGGGCGUAGGGAAGACGACACUCAUAAUUCGAGUGUUGGAGAGCCUAAAAACUGCUUACCCAAACUUGAAGGUUCAAGGUUUCUAUACUCGUAAGCGCGCUUUCUCUAUCUAUAUUUCUUAUUCUUAUUUCGAGGGAAAAACGUAGCAUUUGAAAAACCUAGUCGAAAUGAAUAUUUGAAUUGAAAAAAAGGUGAAAUAAGAGAAGGAAGUGACAGAGUAGGCUUUGAAGUGGUGACGCUCGAUGGACGUACUGGUCCUCUCGCUUCCAACAAAAUCUCCAGGUAUUAUUUCGUCAUUUUUUUCCUCGUUUUCGUUUUUACUGCUUAGUUACCGUGACAUUUUCUCGUCAUUGUUUGAGAUGAACCGUAUGUCAUAUUUGAUUUUUUCUCUGAAGUGGAGAGAAGCAGUUGAUCGGGCUCAUUGCUAUGUCUUUUGUUUUGUCUGCAUCAAUUGUUGUGCUCGAUUAGUUGAAUUCUUUGUACAAGUAAUGCGAGCUUCUGGAUAAAAUAAGUGUAAGAUACUUCAUUACUUCUGUAUUAGCAUGAAUAUUGUUUUAAAUUCUUAUUAGCUCGAAGUUUUUGUUAAAUUUAGAAAUUUAAAUUGAGUAGGUGACCUUGUUUAGCUCCUUCUUCUAUUUCUUCUGAUUUUGGCUGAGAAUUUGUUGUUUAUUCCUAUGAAGAGGUGCGUGCAGGUGAUUGAGAAUUGUAUUGUGUUUGCUCAAACAAGACAUGUUUAGUAAGUUUUGGAAACAUUCAAGUGAUGCGGCUGUUAAUUUCACUGUUUCUUUCUCUCUGUGGCUCUUUGGUUGUGGUUUGAAACUUUGUCCAAUGUUCGCGAAUUUUUAAGUAGUGAAGUAAUGCUGACUUCCAAUCUUCUUAAAGUGGAUUCAAGGGAAGAAUCGUACAGAACCUGAUAGGCUACUGAAGAUUGUUUCUCUAGUUAUAUCUUUUGACUGGCCCUGGCAUUAGAUGGAUCUGCAGUUUGGCUUUGUCAUUUUCAACUCUGUUCCGCAUUUUCUUUUGAAUUAGCUGUCUUUGGUUAGAUGAUCAAGCCAUUUGUUUUCCUGCUUUGUCUUUUGGAAUGUUGUCAUGUUUCUGACAUGGAGUGGGUGGUAAUGGUGAUUUGAAUUUUUUUUGGCAUUCUUUUGUCCUUAUUUUUCCAUGGCAGCGCUGAGUCUCUUAGAUGGCCUACCGUAGGGAGGUACAGAGUAGAUGUGGCUUCCUUUGAAUCACUAGCGUUGCCAGAGUUGCAGGUGGCUUAAAUAACUGUCAAAUCCAGAUUUAAACUUGUAUUUAUUUUUUCAUUAGAUCUUUAGGUUUGAUUCAUUUGUUAAGUUUGCUUGCAUUCUAAAAAACUCUGUUUACUAAUUGAUGGAAUUUUUAUGACGAUGAUUUUUGUUUCAUAGGUCAAGGAAGAUACUGAACUUUUUAUCAUUGAUGAAGUUGGUAAGAUGGAGCUGUGCAGUUCUUUUUUCUUUCCUGCUGUACUAAGAGUCCUGCAAUCAAAUAUUCCACUCUUGGCUUCUAUUCCCAUACCAAAAUCUGGCAGAGAUAUACCUGGAGGUUUGUGUUUGUGGACCUCUAACUAUUUUACUAUAGUUGCAUGCACCACCUAUUUGGAGCUCAUUGCUGGAAUCAAUUAUCUAUUCAUUUUAAUCAUACUUGAAGCCCAAAUAUUGGUGCUAUUUUUCUUCAGAUGAUAAACCUAAUAGGCAUAUUGAAUGGGCUUAGAAUCUGUAAAACCGUAAGACGAGUCUUUCCAUCUUUCAUCUUAAAAAAUUAAAAAGGCGGGAAAGAAAUAGUAGCACUUUUUGGCCAGAACUAAAUUGAUUAAUGCAUCUCUUUGUUAUUGAAGCAUAACUAUGCUGUCUGCAAAUUUGCAGUUGCAAGGUUGAGAAAUGAACCUGGUGCUACUGUUUUUACGUUGAGUAAAAAUAACAGAGAUGCCAUGAAAGAGCAGAUCUAUUCCCAUCUGACAGACUUGCUGCCUAAGCUGUAGAUGUCUUGACAUUACGGUACUCAUACUGCCAGUACACACUUAAAAUUUUGAAGAUAUUUUCUUUAGCUGCUCCUUUUAUUUUGGAAUUAUUUCUUUGUGUGGAGUAUGACGGAAGCAUUCCCUUAGCUGAUAAAGCAAUUUUAUGCCUUAAAUUACACCAUCUGCAUUAAAUGCAUAAACCAUAUUGUGUGCUGGGUACUCUUCCAAUGUGCUUCCUGCCUCGAGGGUCUUUUGUUUGAGAUAGCCGUGUAUGUGGUUGCUGAAAAUGCAUAAGCCAACUGUUGUCCUGGAAAAAGUUUUAUAAAAUUUUUCAGAUGUGUUUUCUGUAGUAAUUAAUUGAGGUUGAUUCAGUUUUUAUUGCCUUGCAUACUAUCUUGUUCUUAGAAAAGCUUUAUGUAAGAUCGAACUGGUAUCUAUUUUUGUAAAGUAUUGGAAAAAUGGAAGUAUCAGCAACUGCCAAGUUUUCGUAGAAGUAUGCGGAUGCUUUUCUUUGUACUUCUACUCCGUGGUAGUAGUUUGACUCGGAGAGCAACUUUCUGGUGUGUUGGUGGAGAUUGGAAUUAAUAGUUCAAGUAUCCUUCUCUCUUUUCGAGGGAGUGUAACUAGUUUCUGCUGUUGUUUUUCUUGCUGUUUUACUAUUACAGCUAAGAAACCUUUUAGAACAGUUUGCAUUCAAUUGAAAGGGCAAUUACAGAAGUGAAACACUUGAGCUUGGGUAUAGGAAAGCCUUUGUCAGUUUGAAUCAGAAAUGGGAGAGGUGAGAAAGCGUUCCUUUUAGCUUUUUGUUCAUUUGGCACUUGAUUUCAAAUUUGACUUGCCUUUUCUAUAAUUUAUUUUGGCAUCUUUGUGUCACUCACUUGGGCCUAAAAUCGCCUUUUCUCUUUAAGCAUAAUUGUCAUCAUACCGUCACCAAAACUAUAGCUUUUUGGCGUUCUAGCUGUAAUUUGGCAUUGGAGCCGAACAAAGUUUGAUUGCUUUAAGAGGUACCCCGCCAUUCGAGAAACUACAUCAGUACAGCAUGUCUUUUGACAUAUAUGCCUGGCAUGUCGUUAUAUGAUGAUUGACUGAUUAAGGAACCCAUUGGAGCCCAUUAAUUUCAUUUUCAAUACCACAACCACAAUAGGUGCCCAUGGGCUUGAAAUGAUUUGAGUUCAUAUGAAAGCUGAGAGAUGUUAAAAAACAAUUCUAAAGAAGGGAAGUAAUGAAAGUUUGAGGAUUUAGCGUAUUUUGGCUGGUAUAGUUCUUCAGGGUAGACCAAAUGGUCCAAAUAAAGUUCAGUUUACGUGACAAAACAGUGAACCUUUAGAAAGUAAAAAAGAAAAAUAUAGGGUCUGUUUGGUUGGAAGUAAAAUAUUUUCCUUGGGAAAAUAUUUUCCGUGGAAGUAAUUUUCCAUGAAAAUCAUUUCCCUUUCAUCAUUUUCAGAUAUUUGGUUAGGUUAUUGAAAAUAUUUUCUUACUUCAUUUUUCUAGUGUUUGUUUAACUUUUGAAAUAUUUUUACUUUUAUCUCUAUCUUUACUUUCUACACAUUAUAACUACAUACUUCUUCCCAUGCAAAAUAAAAAAAUUUAUCUCAUUGUUUAACUUUAAAAAAUUUUGGAGAAAUGUAUAUAUGAAUAAAAAAAUAUCUCCUUAAGCAAUAAACAAAUUGCUAACCAUUUAGUGUCAAAUAUCAAUCACAUGCAAUGCUUAUUGUAACAUAUAUCUUGCACUCUCACUGUUGAAAGUUUCUCUAGAAAAGAAUGUUUCUAUUAUACAUAAUUAAUUUCUAGCAUAGGAUGAGCAUGAUAAGGUUUUUUUUUUAUUUUGAAUAUACUAAAGGGAGGGUUGGGUUGGGUGGUACGGGGAAGGGAGUGUAAGGAAGAAGUUUUGGGUUCGAAUCCUCCUAUUUACACUAAAAAAAAAAAAAAAAAACAUACUACAAGAUGUUUUCAGUAAGUUUAGAACAUACUACAGGCGGGAUGCAUGCAUUUCGGAAAACAACUUCAGUAAGUUUGGAAGGGAAAUUGUUUUCCAUAAGAUGUGUGAAAAUAUUUUACAUAGGAAAAUGUUUUCAGUAACUUUUGUGCAACCAAACAUGGGAAAUUAGGAAAAUAUUUUCCUGGAAAACAUUUUCACCCGAAACAAACGGACCCAUAAUCCUCAUUAAUUUACAGGAAAAAGAUAUUCAUUUCUGUAGAAAAAAAUGCAUAUAAAUACACGACAGUUUGAAACAUAUUGACCCAAAAAUCUACCUAGGUAAACCAUUUCAACAAAUACAAGCAGCGCAUUCCUUGGCCAGGGUUUUUAACAAAUUAGAAUGGCUGUACAAGCAAAAGAACUAGUGAUAAACAAAUGGAAGGUUGGAAAAUAGAAAAAAUAAUCCAACACUUCGGUAAAAUAUAUUUACCAAACGAUUAGAAAGGAUCAACUUCGUUUGUCAUUUUCAGUAAAUCGCAAAACUUCUUUGGCCAUUGAAGAAAACGAUCUAGCGGUGUCCUGCAUCUCGGAAGAUUUCAAACUUAUCCCCUGCAUGAUAAAACAAAUUUGUCUUAGUUUCUGGUUAAAUCCUAGAUGCUUGCGUUAAACAGGUUUCAGGUUGUUGGGAUUAACGGUGACCUGUUUUGGCACCAAACCAUUCUAUUGAAACUAAGCUUGUAAAAUCUUCAUUUGUCAACAGUUCUCCAUAAUCUAAAUCAUCUAAAAAUUGUUUGGUAUAAGGGAAGAUGAUCCUUUAAAGGUUCUCUUGGCAGAAAGGUAUAGUCAGGAAUGUCUCAUCUGAGACUGUUUUAGGAAUUCCGCAAGAGAAGAUUUAGUGAUAUAAGUAAUGCUACCAAUUUCGAUAUAUUGAUGUUUAAGGAAAUAUAAUGACUUGAAUUUAUGAGAAGAGUCCAUUACCAAAGAAUUUGAGUAAUUUGCAAAAGCUCGAGAAUUAUUUACUAUAAUGUGCUUUUAGUGCAACAUUUAUAAUGAAAAGACUAGAUAUCUUUACGAGUGAAAUGUUUUUCUCUCGAGAUUUUCUAUUUUAAGCAACUUAAGGCGUCUGUCUAUGUAAGAACUAACUUGGAUUACUAAACAAUAGUCUUUUUGCUUUUUCGUAGGAAUCGGUUAACGAUGAAAGUAAACAAUAGUCUUUUUGCUUUUUCAUAGGAAUCGGUUAACGAUGAAAGACUCGCAGGCUAUCUCAGCCUUCAUUUGAUCCUCUCUCUACAAUCUAGUAAAGGCCUGUGUCAAUAUUGAAAGGAGGGACAGUUAGACAAUACCUGCAACUUCUUCAAAUUCUCAGUCAGCUUUGUUUUAGCAACAGUUGCAACACAUGGUUCCUGCACAGAAAGAAGGAAAGAGAACGUUUUAGGUUUUGAUGCACCUUUUUUGGUGCUUCGAAAAUAGCUAUAUGCAGCUUGUUGUCCCAAGGCAAGAAAAUUUCUUCUACUUUCUUCAAUCAUUUUCACCUUGGUGAAAAUCAAAUUUCAGCUUAUACAAAAAUCUGUGAUUUAUUAGCAGUUGAAGGCCCCAUGAUUCUAGUAUUCUUCAAUGUCAUUAUUAUCCAAAAUCUAAGUAUCUGACAAUGACAAGUUUAUCAAGCAUCAUUAUUUAGUAGCAUAUUUUAACUAUGGAUACUUACACCAGUGGAUGUGUAUCCAUACUUUUUCUUUAUCUGGUCAACAGAACCACCCUUCUCGUCUUGCAUCACUUCAUUUGUUGACUUUUUAUCGGUCUUUACCUUCAUAUGUUUAAAUCUGCCUGCAAAUUGAAGAAAAUGAACGCCAUUGUCUUACUAGAAAUAUAUACAAAAGUUAACACUCAUCUGCGACAACAAUAGAAUGGCAAACUGGACAGAUUAAAAACGGAAUUCACUCAGAAGUGAUGUGAGACGUACUUUAACCUUGUAGGCUACAAUCUCGGAAUAACAGUCCUUACAAUCCUAGAUGACUAUAGUCGUGACAUAAUGCAUGAAACUAAGAAAAAAGCAACAAGUAAAGAAAGAGGUUCAUCCUGAAAUCACAGGCAGACUAACCUUUAAAUGUCUGAAACGUAUCUGCCAAAUUCUGUUUGUUUAGAGCUGCCAUUACUCCAUAUCCUUUCUGCUUCUCACCAGGAUCUUCAAUGUCAAUGUCAUCUUUUCAAGCGCAAAACAUGUCAUUAUGGUUGGUUGUGUUAAUGACUCAGUGUAACAAAACAUGCACACAACCAAGAGGAAACUAGAUGUUCAUAAAGGACAAAAUUGUGAAUAAGGCACAGCCGAAAUAAACUCAAAAGCACCAGUGUCGAACUAAUGUAUUCAACAGCUGCUGGUGUUGGUACAAAUUAGCUUUUUCCUUGAGAAGAGGCAUAUUAAUAAAAUAGUUUAAAGGAAGUACCUAUGUCCAGAUCAGUGUCAUCUUUGCCCGCACUCUUUUCUUCACUAUCUACUUCUUCUGGAAAGUUAGCAACUGAGAAGAUAGUAGACAAUGCUUCAAUACUUUCUUUUGCAUCUUCAACUUCCACAUCUGUCUCGCUCUUUGCUUUAGUCCCCUUAAUAUCUUUAAUAACAGAUCCGAAUAAACCCUGUUGCUCCAAGUUAGACAGACAGUGGUUCAGUUUCUACACUUAAAGAGUCUUGGGCAGUUCAGGUAGUUUCAAAAUGUGUACCUUCCUCUUUUCUUUAUGAAUGAUGUGUGAGGACUCUUGUGCAACCAUUAGGUGAUGGGAAUGGACUUGGGAAGCAUCAUCCAGAAACCUAGAUAGCAGAUGAGAUCAUCACAAAGGAAAAUCAGCACAGAAUCAGCCUAGGUGAUUUCCCCACAUUUCAUACAUGGGAGAUCAGAAAGUACUUCCUACUACUUCCAUACGGAAUCAUUCCCAUAUUCUAACAAUGUGGAGGUUAGAUUAAAGUGAACAGAAUAGGCAUUAGUAAUCAUUCCCGGAGUCAGUAAUGCCUCUUACCUGUAGAUAUCCUUUUGGAGCGAUACUGAGAUAAAAAAUGCUUCCUGAUCACCUUCCACCUGCAAAGUUGUGGUGUUAUAAUCUUGAAUGAGGUAUAGAAUAUCAAACAAGUGAAGCAGCUUAGAGAUAUUAGUAUACCAAAAUCAUGUCACCGUUGACUGAGAAGCACACUGAAGUGUUAGAAAUUGAGUUCUGCUUUGGAAUUGAAGGUCUGAGGCCUCUCACAGAAGUUUCCUUUAGAAGAGAUAAUUCUGGCAAGGAUCUGAAUUUAAGUAGAUAAGUAUUUCGUGAUCCAGACAUGUCAAUCAGAACUUGGGAAACAUUACAACUUCAUAUAUGCAAUUUAGUAGAAACUACUCUUUUCCUUCUCAUACAUGUACAACUAUUUCCAAAAGUAACAAUUAGAGCAACAAAAUAACUUAUCCUAGCAGCAAAAUUGAUACAUCCUCUCUCAAUCAACUGCACGUAUUCAAUAUUGCAGGUAAAGUUCACAGCCAUAACUGACUGUGGAAGAAGGAUGGUAUUCAUGUACACAACUAAUGUAACUAGAGUAAUUGAUGGAGCAGAAUUAGAAAGAAGAAACACCUGAUCUCGAUCUUUCCACUCGAAAAUAGAAGAAUCAACCCUGAACCAGGACUUUCAAGAAUUGAUGCCCAGCAACAAGAAGAGGAAUGGAACUUCUUCUUAUUGUGCACCUUCUUAAUACCCUAAACAAACAAAAACAACAUCUGCCAAAGAUCAGAGGAAAGCAGCUCAAGUACUUUCUCCAUGCGUUACAUGUACCUAAUGAUGACAUGUUUUCUAACCUGUAGAAUGUGAACCAAGGAGUAGACAUAAACAGCUUUCUCAGAGCAAACCACCACUACUUGUUGCUUUGAUUGUGGACUGUCAGAAUUCCCCUUGAUAGUUUCUGUCCUUUCUGAUGUGUUAGGACACCUACUAGAUACCUCCAGUCCAUCUGUAAAGAUUUUACAGGGAAGGAAAGAGAUAAAACUUGACUGAUUUUAAAUGCGGCCAUGAGCUGAGCAACAUCUCAAGGAAAACAGGAACAAAAGAAAGAAAAAACUUAAUAACAAAUUACCCAAAAUCUGCAUGUACAAAGCUCUAGAAGGUUUCUUAGGACGUAUCAUGUUAGUGUUGAGAGUAUUUCCUGAUUCAGUGUCGAGUGCUACCACAGAAGAAUCCUUAGUUGCAGCAACCAAAACAUUCUUUUCAAAACCAUGCAAGCUGCAAGUUACAGAUUGCAAAGAGAUUAUUCCUGUACUGAGUUCACUUGCAAAAUGUCUCUCAUACAACAAAGUCGGUCCCUCAAGAUUAAUCAGGCAAACCUGUAUAAGACGUUAAAACCAAAAAAAAAAGAAGAAAAGUUAGCAUCUUCAUUUAUAUAGUUAAAAAAUAAUGACAGAAAUAUAUGUGAAUUAAUCAAAAUCUUUCCUAAUCAUUAUGCAUUAAACGAGUAAAAGUAUACAGUACAUUCUUCCUGAUAGUGGCCUUCGUCUAAAGGGUGGUCACUGUUACUAGCACACCCAAGUCCAGUGCACCAUUCAUAUUCUAAGUCAGAAAGUCUCAAACUUAUCCCCGUUAUCAUCCAUCAACCAACUCCUCCUCACACAUUUACCAUACAAAAUAAGUAAACCAUACUCUUUAACCAUUCAUAAAUUCUGAGGAACUAUAGACAACAAUGUAAAUAUUCAAAAUUAGAUGCCAAUAAUCUGAAUCUAGGAGAGGAAAGCAUACAUAUCCUUGAUCUGUCCCAACUGCAAGAUAUUUAGCAUUCUGGAUUGAGUUUAUGAAAAGUACAGCUCCAUUAACCUGCAGAAGUUUAAUACUCUGGAUGACGCUACCCUUCUUCGAAACUCCUGGCAAUGAGCACAUGCAAAAUCGUUAGAAGAUAUGUGUGAUUUUUGAAAGCUCAAGUACAGUUGGAGUGAGCAUGAAUGAAUAUGAAUUUGACUAAAUAUACAGCUGAUGGAUCAAAUAAACUCAUGGGCCUAGCAAAGAAACAAAAACAGUUAGGUAGAAUUUGCCAUUUCUGUUGAAAUUUUUUCCGGCAUGCAAUUUACAAAUUAGAAUCUUUAACAAGCAACUUAGAUUUGAUGACAUGAUGGCUCCUACGCCAUUAUGAAGGAAGCUGCUUUGUGGUAAAUGUUUGGGACGUGUAGACUGAUGUUUUCUUCUACCGCGGUAUGUUAGAAUGGUUUCUCUAGUUCAAACCUACAAUGUAUGACAUGACAAAAGAUUCAGUGAAAAAUAUUCCCAGCAACAUCUCAAAAUACCUUGCAGGGACAAGAAACUGGUUUCUGGGGCAAAGAGCUCAGGUUUAAAUUUAUACAUCCGUAUCUGCAUAAAGUGCAUGAUGAAAGCUUAGAAUCAACAUGAAAACAAAAGUGGAUAUCUUUCUUGUGUCAAUUUCAUGAACAAAAAGACUUUACCAGUCCACCUUGAUCGCCAGAAACAAAGAUCUGCAAAUCACUAGUGCAAUACAGUGCUGUCAGUGGUACACCACUUAGAGAAGUAUCUUCCUCACUCUGCAUAUGAUCAGUCGCUAUGGAAUUAAGAAAAGCUAGAGGAGAUGAAAUACAUUAUAAUGUUGAAAGAAGAAAAAAGUAAAGCAGUCUGAUGUUCUCAGCAGUUACAUCUCAAGCCCAUCUGUAGAUGUUAAACGUGAUGAUUCAUUGAAGUUUAGUAGAAAAACUUCUCGUAUGAUUGAAAUUUGGAGGGCACACCCUUCAGUAAGGCAUAUAAAAUAAAGAGAUACAAACUCUUUGUGAUGACAGGAAUUGUCAAAUAGCACUUCAUAGUUGAGGGAACAAGUGAGGAAUGUCGGAGUUUUGGCUUCUCCUGCUAACUAAGGGGUUAUUUCUCAAACUGAUCCAUUAAUUUACUGCUUCCCCAGAAGAGGAAAGGAAAACAAGAGGGGCACUUGACUAUCUUCUUGAAGGAAUCUAAACUGAAAGCAGAAGUAUCACAUCCUGUAUGAAAUUACCUGCUGAGUUACUGAUAGAAUUGGACGCAUGAGUGGGCAAGAAACAUCCCAUAUUCUUAUGGCUCCAUCGUCAUGUCCAGUUAUAUAUAAGUUCUUCGCCUUUGAAAGCCCCCUAGGUUGUGUUGAGUUUGAGCUCGUUCCAUCUUUUUGUGUUGUCUCAAAUGGAAAAAGUGGUAAGAUGUCUUUUGCUAGUGAAUUAUAGUCCUAAACAUUUUCAAAGAAGUCAAAUUGUUGAAAAUUAAGCAAGGAGGAGAAAAAGAAGUAACAUAACUCAGUCACUACCUGAUCCUUCAAGUAUAGGAGAUGUGGGUUAUCUUGCACGAAUCUUGCAACUGUGAUACUUGGAUCAGCAAAUGGCAAUUUCACCUUUAUCUCCUUUGGAAGUGAUGGGGAGGACUUGGAUUGGCACUGUAAUAGGUACCUUUCAAUGAGGUAAUCGUCAUAGGUGUAUAUAUGACCUGACUUUCCAAGCAAAAGGAGAGAAUCGUUCUUUUGCUUGCAUUGUGGAUUAAAGCUCGAUACUAUCUCCAGAUCAAUAGGAGAUUCGUGGGUAUGGAGCCCCAAUUUGAUUGUACGGGAUUCAAUAGUAUCAUUGAGUAGAACUACCUGCAGAUUAGCACCAAGUUAGUACAAAAAUUAAAUAAAAUCAACUAACAGGAGAGCUAACAUAAUCAUCAAAUGAGUCCACAAUUAGAGAAUCCUUCAGAACAAAAGUUGUGGCUUCAACAUGGUUCACUGACUCUCAUAGUUAACUCUGGGAUAACAAGAUGCCUUACUAUUAUAUUGACAAACACCCUCCACAACAGGUGUGGAGAAUUUUAUGCUUUUAAUCAACAGAAAUAUUGAAAUUAGUACGACUUGUCAUUGACUGGUGUUGUCCCAUAUUGACAACUGAGAGUGCAGUAGAUUAAGUUGAAAGCUAAAUAGUCUGAUGAACUGAAAAUGUUUUUGCAUGACUUCCCUGCUGUCACAAUCGAAGUCACAUUUUUGUUUACUGGAAAUGACAUGAGCACUUAAGAAGAAAUCCUAUAUUCAAGACCACGCAAUGGCAGCAUCCCCGUGCUUUAAAUUUGCUAUUAAUGAAAACUUAAGUAUACACCUUUAUGAGUAAGACAAAGACUCUUAUAAUAACUUGUGAAAUCACAAUUUUCAGAAAGGACAUUGGAUACCCAAAAAAAAAAAAGGAAAAAAAAUCAAAGAAAAGGAAAUGUUACUUGUAGCAAGUUUGCUGAAGGAUAGUCAGAGCUUCCUAUGACAUAUAAUCGACUUGCUUUUCCAUCUGCAUAAUCCCACCUUAACUUUGCAAUAGGUAUUUUGUCCAGUUUGUAUCCAAGAUUUAGUUUAAUAACUGGACCAUUUUGAGCAUAAGGGUCCUUCUCUUUUGUUUGUUCAACUUUAGAGUGCAAAGGAGCUGGAAUACUCCACAUGAAAAUCUCUCCAUUGCUGUAUCCCACAACUACUUUGCUUCCAAAUGGGCAAGCCCAAGUUGCUGCAGUCACUUUCUUUGUUUCAUGGGAUGUUGCUUGCAAUGUUGUCCCACCAGCAGUGAAAAUGGCUUUGCUAUCUUGGAUGUCCCAUAAUGUCAUAAAACCAUCAGUAUAAAUAAUAAGAACCCUGCAUCAAAAUCAAAUUGUUGGGGAAAAAGGCCCACAGAGAAGUUGACAAAAUAAUGAGAGUCCAAGAGAAAAGUAAAUCAGUUUGUCUAUUUCCAUAUCAAAUUCUACUUCUUACAGCUGCUCGUGUUUCUGGCAAAAUAGCCUUACCUGAUAUACAAUUUAGAAAGGAAUUAUACAAAUGGAUGCAGAUAACGAUAAUUGCGGAAAGAGCAUUCACAAUGAAGGACGAUGUUAACUCUCUUUGUUAUUUCUAUUCUGAAUUUUAUGAUUUGAUGCUGCCUUAUGCAUGUAAGUCAUUACUUUGCUACGGCAUUUGAACGAACAAAAUGGUACCUCUUACUUUCCGCUGUAGGUUGAGGCAGUAUAUGAAUGACGGCAAUAUCAGCAGGAACUUGACCUGAAUUCCCUGUAGGAAGGUUAGUCAUCAGGAUUUGUGCAUAAUAGAUGCUGUUGCAUCUUCUCUCACUACAAGGUAUUGUUAAUUCCUCUACGUAGCCGAAUAAAUUAAUUGUUGAUUACUUUGUUUUCCCACUCUCAGGUAGUCUUUUUCCUCCAUUGCUCAAUCUCAAAUAUUCAUAACCACAAAACCAAAAAAAAAAAAAAAUUGACUAUAACACUCCGCAAAAAUCUGAGAAAGUAGGCAAAAAAGUACGUAGUACUAUAUCAAAGAAACUGUUAUUCUCUCACCGUGGGAUGCUGAGAGUGGUAUAUGGUACUUCAUCUGCUCUAUAAUAGUUGGCUCUUGAUUAACCUUGAAAACGGAAACAUUACCAGCAGAAUCUCCAAAAUACCUGCCAUAUACAUUUAUAAUCUUUAGAUCAACUAAAGUCUUAAGUUAUUGAUAAGGUAUGCUAUUAACUACUGAGUUGCAUCGAACGUUGUAUAACUUACAUGUAUGGAGCAUGAAGCAUGGAUGUACAAGAGGUGAUUUCCUUUUUGAAGUCAUGAACAUAAGACAAGCACCUCUUUUCUAGAUCCCAGACCUACAUAUUGCUUAAACUAGUAAAGAUUCAAGUUACUAUCAACAAAGGAAAUACUCAAAUACAGGAAAAGAGACAACCCACAAGCAGAACUAGAGUUUCUCCUGACUUGAUAAUCUCUUAAAGCUUUACCAGACAAAAGCAAAACAACUUGUAAAGGAUCUCAAAAUUGGUCAACUUGCCUCAAUGUGAUUAUUGGAAUUUAUGUUUACAAGGAUUUGUUGGUUCUCGAUGAACUGCACGACAAGAACUAUAGGUCAAAAUAAGUUGCAACACUUCCCAAUCCACGUGAAAGAAUCGGUUCAUGUAAAUUAUCACAUGAAGUACAACACAUCAAAAUAAGUUGCAACACUUUCCAAACCAGGGGAAAGGAUCGGUUCAUGUAAAUUAUCACAUGAAGUAGAACACAUGCUGGAGGGCCAAUAGAUAUACAUACUCAUGGUUCUAAUAGCAACGUCAAUAACCAAUAUCUCUCACCACAGACGGAAAAAAUUAUGAAAGCUGAAAAGCACGCUAUAGGUGGACUACCUGCAGAAAUUUGCUUGGCAACACUUCAGGAGAUUCCAACAAGGUCUGGCUGCCAUUUUUCCCAAAUAAUUUAAUCUGACCAUCCCUGCAAAUAUUACGACAAUUGAUUUAAUUAGUAACAGACUCAGACGUGACAAGUCAAGCAUCACUAUAAUGGGUUAAUGGUGCAAUUUGGGAUCUUCUAGCCUAAUGCUGGACAUCAAAUGUCAAGUACAAGAAAAGAUGAACUCUUCAGAAUAACGAGGUUUACUAGGAAAAAAUCAUGCGGAAAUCUGCAAAUCCAUUGUCCCACAUAAACUUACGAUAGCACUAAAUCAAAUGCAUUUGUGUAUUUUCACACUCAAAAUGUUUAAAAAGUAAAGACAUUUGUAGAUUUAAAGUCAGUAAAUGAAUGACACUUUCGAGAAACACAAGUGAACCAUGACGGUGAAAUUCUGUCAAGUAGAAAGAACGGAAGCUAAAUUUCCAUGAGUGGUCUAAAUGAUUUAUUCAUCUCAUCAUUGUAACAGAGACUCACCUAACUGAAAUAGCUAAAAUCUUUUUAGGAUUAUUGUAAGCAAACAAAUUAGCUCCUGAUGGGAUGCCAUAAUGGAAAAUCAAGCGGGGAUCUACAUCUUCAGGUUUCAAACCAUCUGUCCCUCCAGGCUGCAACAAGCAUAACAAAGAUCAAAACACGAUAACUGGUAUAUUUCCUACCUUAGAAGUCGCUACUAGGCAAAAGUGAACAGGGCAUCUAUACUGAACAUUCAUAACUGUCAGAUGAUAGAGAAUUUCAUGGAUCUCUAACUUUUCAUUCUUCACCAAAUAAUAAAAAAAAUUACUACUUGGUACCACAAUAGCGUAUAUUAUGACAAUUUCUUUCUCAAAAUUCACAUGCAAUCACAACGAGACUAUAAAGAGAAAGGAAAAACCUAAAAUUCAAAAUGCAAAAGCAUCCAUUAUUACUUUUAUUAUCAAUCCUUUGCUCUACUUUAGCACUACCAGAAUAGUGACUAAUUGUUCCAUUAUGUUAUUCAAGAAAUAUGCAUCUACAGAAUUUGUCAAGAAUAGUUUUUGAGUACUUGAACAUCAUGACCAAAAAAUGGAUCAUUGAGUAUACAAAAUAGAAAAUGGUAAAAUUUAAAUUCAUUUGGAUUAAUUGUUUUUGGGAGUGUUUUUAAAAAAAUUUACUGUAGCAAAGUUUUUAAAGUAUAUUUUGAAAUAUUUUUAGAAUAUAUUUUGAGAUAUUUAAGAGUAGUAGAAUUUUUAGAAUAUAUUUUGGAAUAUUUUUUAAACAUAAAAAAAAUUAACUACUUUUUAGAAUACCUUUUAGAGUACUUUUUAAAAAUUUUUAUAGUAUUUGAAAAACUAAUUUUUGAAAACUGAUGAAUCCAAACAGAUCUGUACUUUUAGGUUCCUACUUUAUACGUCAUCAUUCAAUUUGAAAUUGCAUAGUUUGCAUUGUCAUACGAAAAAGCAUCCUCAAAUCAAAUGCUAGAUUAAUUCCCAAGUUAAUUUGCUUGAUUGCUAGAAUUGCAAUUCAAUAUCAUGCAGAUGAGAAAGUUAUAUAUGUAAUCAUGCUCCUAUUGAUUUGCUAAAGGCUUAAUACCUGGUGCACCUAAGUGGGGGGCAGCUAUCCUUUUCUAUUUCGAGUGAUUACCAACAGCAAUAAUAUUCCAUACAUGUCACCAAUAAUUGGACAUCACUUAGUAUUCUUAAUGAAUAUGUUGCCACGGUAUUUGCCUUUCUUCUACAUACGGCUCAAGUGAUUAAACUUCAUACUAAAUGGAUUAGUAUUUACUAAUCCAAUAAUUCCUAAGGAAACUGUUGGAUUAGUGCAUCUGGGUCUUGACUCUUGCGUAUGGGCUUAACAGCACAAGGGGACUACGGGAGACCCGAAUUGGUGAUUGUGGGGCCUCUUAAACAUAACGGUGGUCUUAGGAUACAAUUUGCACGUUGGUGGCUUUAAUUUCUUCCACCGCCCAUCACAUGCUCACGGAACCGAAGGAAGAUUUCUCUAUAAAAUUUAUUAUUCUCAGCUUAGUGCAGCUGUCUUUUUUUUUUGGUGUAAUAGUGCAGCUGUCAUGUGUACUUGAUCCCAAAAAAAAAAUCAUUUAUUCUCACCAAAAGCAUUGGGUUAAUAAGGAAAAGAAGUCGAAAGAAAGCGUAGUAAUAUGGAAAAGAAAAUCAUUUAUUCUCACCAAAAGCAUUGGGUUAGCAAAGGAAAAGAAGACGAAAGCAAGUAGACGCCAAAGAGAGAAAAACAGUUACGACGAUCUCUUUAUGAAGACCCAUAUAGUAAUCUGGAAUAUUUUAUACCUUGACCACGAAAAUUCUUUUUUUUUUUUGUUUUUUCUUAACCUUAUCCCAGUUGGCCAACUUAUGGUUUCGACUAUUCCAAGUUGUUUUACUUACAAUUGCCCGCAUUCCCUUCUAAGUGGGCAAGUGCAUGCUUAAAUUCUAACUCCUAUUGCUGAUUUUUGGCUACGAGAAAGAAACAAUUUGACGGUGAAAUCACUUUUAACAUAAAAUGCAGGGAUAAAUUAACGCAUAAAAGAAAACAACUCUUCCCCUAUAGCAUCACUCUUUAUCACUCAUAAUCACCGGCACCCCCAUGCUUUUGCCGCUUCACUCCAUCUACCGGCCCCUCGCCAGUCCCCACAUAUGCAGAAGUUGUCAACACGAGAUGUCAAUAACGGCCAAAUACAGCUUUGACCCAAUAUUUACCUCCAAUAAUUGAUCACAUCCGGCAUAAAAAAAAAAAACACAAUAUUAAAUAUGCUUGUUCAUUUCCUCCUCGUUCUUUCGGUCAAGGGGAAACAAACAAGGACGAAUGCCUUAAAAAACUUUAAGACGGUACCAAGGUAAGCCAAGUAAGUUAAACACGUGGAAUUGUUGAGGUCAUUUAUUCCAAUGGUUAAGGUAGGACUUUAAAGGUGCUUUCUACUGUCAAAUUCAGGAUUAAAAUUUUGAUUAAAAUGUGGAAAGGAGAGGGGGAGGGUGAAAAAAAAAAGUCAAAAACAUUGGGGCCGGAUGUCUUUGGAUAAUUAUCCUAGUCCAGUAGCUUCAAAAGUAACACGUAGCAGAGAUUAAGAUGUAAACGACUUUUAACUUCCCAAUCGUCUUUACACGGUCAAAAAAUAAUACAGCGAAUUGAUUGCGACCAAAAAGUGAGCAAAUUAGUUGAAAAAAAGAAGAAGGCACCAAAAAUUAAACAAUGUAAAUUCUAUAUCUUGCCUUAGUGUCGCAUAUCAAAACAAAAGGUAGUGAUGACAUUUCAUUUAGUAAACUUUACAGUCAGCUCCGGGCACACAAACCUUUAUCUUAACCGAAAUGGAUAAUACACGUCUUUACGUGACUACAUACUUUUAACUCUAACUGCCCAAAUUUCUAAAUUAAAAAAAAAAAUGCACUAACACAACUAAAUUCCCAAUUCUCAGGUUGUUUUCGUGGUGUGCUUUUUCACGCCCAUCAUUAUCCUAGACACCUAAGUGUUCGUUAAUCACAUUGAAAGUUGCAGUUCAAUUUAUGUAUUUUAAUGAGAUAGUUAAUAUCUUGUCACCUUCAUAGGAUGCGCACAUCACUGUCAUGUGAUCAAAGCCUUGAAUAAAUCGUACCCCAAAAAAAAAAAAUCUAUACUAAUUUAAACCUAUUUAAUCCCGAAUCGGUAACUUCAAUAUGAAGAUGAUUCUUUUCCACAAACACACUAUGAUAGGUCCAGCCAAAAAGCUACCGAGUAUGAACAAGAUCAAGAGCGGAUUCUCAGUCUAUAUACAAUUCGUGAUCUGGCAUGUCCAGAAGAGCUCAAUUUCAGGCAUAUUGAAACCAUUUUAUAGUAACUACUUCACACUUUUUUUGUACCGCUACGGUUCAAACAAGCUAAUGUAUUGGGACCUUCUAAAUAAACAAUUCAUUACAAAAUUCAGAAUUAUCGAAGAGUGAUCACACCGUAGCUUUUAUUGGUUUCAGUAUUCAACAAAUAUAAUGAUAAUUAAAAUUAAACAAACAAAUCAACAGAGAAGCAGGAAUUCGAACUCAAGCAUACGAUUCCGAGCUCCUCGAGAACAGAGCAUUCUGAUGGAAAACUACUCCAGCGAGUAACAAAAAUAAAAAACAACAUAGGCACUUCAAACUAUGAGACGACGUCAUUUUCCAGUUUGCAGAGACGAAACUUUCAAAUGACUGUACUAGCAGUUGCAGAAUGCUGAUUAAAGUUCAAAAAUUAGCAUUCAAAUUCGCCUAAAAUAGCUCCAGCAAAAUAUCCUUUUAUUAUUAAAAUUUUUUGCAGUUUCUACAAAUGAAAAAUGUCAAAUCGUCCAAACAUCAGAUAAUUUGCAUAUAAAUUAGGAAAUGAAGCAAAAACUUACCUUCUUCACGAAAGAAGCCUUCUCCACAAACUUCUUCACAAACAUGUCUACAGAUAAAAAUAUCUCUCUGGAUGAAACGGAAAUAUUAACGAUGAAGAUAAGCUUGAUGAAUUUACGAAGUUAGGAAAAUGAAGCCUCUGCUUUUUUUUUGUCUCUCUUAACUUGGAGAAUGGAAAGAAACCGCCGAGGAAAUGAAAGUUUGAGAAAAGGAGACCGGAGAGUGAGGGCGAGAGACGAUUUAAUACAGUUUCAGGUUUGGUUUUUUGUUUCUUUUAUUUAACUAGACAAGUGGACAGCCUAAUUGAUCAACGAUGGUUUUGGAUUGGGACACGUGGCUGAUGAUUAAGUUUGUCCGAUACUUGCGAGAGAGAAUCAGAGAAAGAGAGAGGCACAUAGAUUUGGACGGUGCGAUUUCAUGUUUCUUUGCUUACCAACCGCUGUUGGAAACGACAAAACUUGGAAGAAGGUAAGCUAAGGCAGCGUUUGUUUGAAGGGAAAAGUGUGGGAAAGUGAAGGAUAGUCUUGCUCAUAGAUUACCUUUUUCCUCAAAAAUUUUUACCCAUUUUGUGAAUUACUUUUUUUAUCUUAUGUACAUCAAAUCAAUAUAAUACAUUUUUAAUAAAAAUUUAAAAAAAUAAUCCAAAUGGGCUUAAUUUUUAUAUUUUUCUUUAUAUGUUUUGGUUGGUACGAAUGUUGAAUUUUUAAAAAAUUUUUUUUUUUGGCAUUUUCCUACUUUCCUCUAUUUUGUGCCUUACAAAAUUAGUAGGAUUUUAAAGGAAAAUAGUUGGUUACUCACAAAAAUUUCAAUAACUACUACUAAAUUUUGAAAAACUUUCCUUUCCUUGUUCAAAUUGGAUUAACCUCCCCAUAAUGAUUAAUAUUUAAAGACGCUGAGAUGUUGGAAAACUCCCAGUGAUUUGAUAAAGUUUAGAGGAAGAUGACUCGUUCUAUUCCAAAACCUUCACGCUGAGAUGUUGGGCGCGGCUUAAGGUGGUUUUAUAAAAUUUUCGGCCAGCGGCCCUUCAACUAGCAAAAGAACACGAGCAUUGCCCCUACCACAAUGGCCAAGUCUUCACAAACUAGAUUUAUAUUUUUUCAUUCUGCGUAUUACUAACAAGACGCUGGUUUAGAGGUUAGGCAGGAAAAAUUGAUUAACUAAACUUCCCCUGUUGAAGAUUGUUCCAUACUCCUUCACAAAAAAGGGAAAAAAAAAAAAAGAUUGUUCCAUACUUUUCUUAAGUAUUCUUUUAUUAAUGGCGCAAUCAUCCAUAUCCAUAUCAUAUCAUAUCAUAUAUCCUAUCCUCCCUCUUCCAAAAUUACUGCUUUCAUGGGCAAAUGAGAAUCUUGCUUUCACCUGUUGAAGCUUUAUCUUUUAUUUUAAGAACCUUGCUUUCACCUAUUUAAAAAGUCAUGUUGUUUCCCUAGCUUCUUUCCAUAUGGUACUCAUGUUUGACAUAAAAAUAUUAACUCACUUGUACCUUGUCUAUUUGCUCUUUUCAUCUUAUUUCCUUUUAUUUUGACAAUCGCUUAUAGAAAGUCUAGCAUUUUUCACAAUUUUUAAUCACCUUUUUGGUAAUCAAUCGAUAGAAAUGAUCGCUUGUUAUUCAUACAAUUUCAAAUGAAUCCAGAUCUUAACAAGGCCGAUCCUAAAAAUCCAAAUAACAAGAAACCAUGCUGAAAAAUGUUGGGGUACGGACAGAAGAAGCCAAGAAAAUCAUGGUUGUACAUUCUAAAGGUCUAAAUCUACGUAACAUGGCAAAAAUGACAACGGGUUCAAUCAUCCGUAUUUUGGCACCGAUAGAUAUGUGGCAGGCAACCAAUGGUCGUUUGGACGGUUUAUCACUACAAAAAAUUUUAAAUCAUGAUAAGAUGGAAGAUUAAGGAUUCAAAUUUUAUUUCCUAUUAAUGUGUUACUAUACAUAGUUUCUUCUAGAUCUAUAACGAUGCAUAGUUUAUUUGUAUGAUUCAUCGGCUCCUCUAAGUUCUAUUGGAUCUCUGUCUUUUCCUCUCAACGUAAGUUAGAGUGGGAGAAGGAAUAAGUUAAACUAUGCUGUUGUUGACAUCUGAUUAUAUAUAAAAAAAAAAAAAGAAGAAGAUACGUGGCAGGCAGCUGUGGGCUGGCUUUACCAAACGUUUGGCGAGUCCCUGGAGAGUGGACCACCCAGUCAAAAUGAUUUCUGCAGCUGGAUAGAGCCACGGGUUAUUCUUCAAUGAUUCUAAAUUGUACAAAUUAGAGAGCAGCACGUGGACUCUAUUACUACCAGCUUUCUCUCUCUUCUUUCGAAGGAAAAAUCGUCACAAGUACGUUAAGCUCGUUUUUUUUUUAAUUUUAUUUUAUAACUUCGGCCUUGAGUUCUGAGGAAGAUUUCAACUUGCUAGUGAGGAGAGGUUAUGCUGGUGUCUUCCUUAUGGGCCUCAAAAAAUGCUUGGGCUUCGUUUACGGAAGCAGCGAAGUGUUGCCUUGAGUAUGCCGGACUGGCAAGCGUGGAGAAACGUCCCGGAGGUUGGGCUCGGAGAAACUUAAAUUUAGUUCACGGACAGAUGUAGCAUGUGGCCCAACAAGGGAAACCAUUUCUCUAUGUCUUGGUUAAAGCUUUGAUUUAGUCACCAGUAAUCAAACUACCGACUACGGAUUCAAGUUCAUAGGCUACCGGUUGCAAGAGAUCAAGAUGAAAUUCGGAGACCAACAGUUCUCACAUUCAAGUUCAAUUUUGUCACAGGGAAUUAUAUAUCUCCACCUGUAUGCUCAAAAAUGUUGCUCACUAUUUCUUAUUGAGAAAAAAAAAAAAAAAAGAGAUCAGAGUAUUGGGUCUAUUGGAAGUCAUUGUAGUAUUUGACCUGUGAGGCAAACAAUUUAGGCUUCAACUUCACAAUAUUGAAGUGGAAAUAGAUCCUCCUGAAUCAGUGAGAAAUAAAUUGGGAACUCCUCGUCUGACACGGACAGAAUCUUGAUUAGCUUUUUAGCAUUAAGGAGAUCUUCUGAUGAGAAGCACAAGUCUGUGAGUUUGCAUGUGAUUCAUAAACUUGACCAGUCAGAAGUAGCUUUACCGCUCUCAUCAUAUCCCAACCGAACUUAAUCAUUAAGAGACUGGAGUAGCUCGUGAAUUUUUCAGCCCAGCUUUGUUUGGAUUGCAUUUUUCUGAAUUUUUUAUAGAAAAAUUACUGUAGCGAUUUGAUAUAUGUGAGGUAAAGAAGUGUUUGAAAAAUGUGUUUACGGAAAACGUAAUAAUUUUUUUAAAAAAAUCUGCAAUUUAAACGCAAAAUUAUAUAUGUGUGCAUGUCUGCACGCACGCAUAUAUAUAUAUAUAUAUAUAUAUAUAUAUAUAUAUAUGUAUAUAUAAAUGAAAAAUAGCAAUUGAUUUGGGCUUUUUUUUUUAAAUCAUGGUUACUUUUCCUUAUGAAACCGAAGUCAAUUUUCUUUCUCUUUUAAAAGAAUUCUUUUGGGUUAUUAGGAAUUUUAUUGAGUCAUGUUUUCUCCCUUAAACUACAAAUUCUAUUCAUCAAAGAAGAAAAGGGAUAAAAACCCCUACCACAAUUUGUAUCCAAAAGAAAGAUGGGAAACGAUCUUUUUGGUCCCUUAUGUUUGGGGUAUUAGUCAAUUUGAUCCCUUAUCUUACUAAUUUAAUCCCUUAAUUAAGCCCGUGUAGAAAACAUUUAACGAAAAAUUGGAAAAGUUCAAAUGAAAAUAAAAUUUGAUUUUCUUUCUCUUGUACAACAACUCUUUUAGGGUAUUCCAUGCAUUAGAACCUUUUUUGAUUCAUUUUUCCCCCCCUUAAAACUAUAAAUUCUACUUUCAAGAAAGGGAUACAAGCAAAACUAUAACUUGUAUCUAAAAGAAAGAUGAACAAAAAUGUAUUUAUGAGCCUAUUACCAUUAGUGUUGAUAAUGAUAUUCAUGCAAGGUACGUAGCUUAGUAUCGAUUUAUUUGGUCCCCAUUUGAUGGUCCAUUGACACGACCCCGUAUUAAUGGGAUUUCACUCACUAAGCUGUAAGCUCUCACUCAAAUCUCAUGCUUCCAGAUUUCCAGUUUCAUGCACAUGACGCACGCAUUCUCCAUCAUUUGAUGGGCUUUUGCUUUUACAACUUCAAAGCCCCACCAUACAUAGCCAUCAUCUUCAUGAGUUGUAAGGGCAUAGCCUUUGCCUUUCACCAAGCCUCUACCUAGACGCAUAUGUGCUAAGGUAGCAUAAAAGGGCAUAAGAAUAAUGGCAACCCUUUAAUUUAAGGUUGAUUGGGUCCUCGAUUGAGUCUAUACAUGCAUGUGUGAUCUGUCUGCUUGUUCCUCACUUUUACUCCGCCAAACUUUCCCCUCACUUUCUGUGUAUAAUACAUGCAUCUUGGAAAGAGAAAGUUGGCAGCUCCAUGUUAGAGUCCGGCUCCUAAUAAAUAAUAAUAAUAUUAUUGCUAAUAAUUAACUCAUUAGUAGUAGUUUUUUUUUUUUUUUUUUUUUUUUUGAGGAUAUGAAGGCAAGCACUGAGUGAACAGACGCAAAUGCUUCCAUUUCCUAUCACGGACCUCACAAAAAUUUUUGUGUCCAGUUCAAAUUGGCUCUUAUAAUUUUUUUUUUUGGUGUAAAUUUGUAUAAUUUGAGUGCAAAUUUAAAAUUGUCUACAAGCUAACCGAGUAGUUAAUUAUUUGUUCUUCAAGAAAGGAAUUGCCAUUAUACUAUCCUAUGCGGCUGCUUAAUUAUGUAAAGUACUUAAACUUUAGACUAUUAAUAUGUGAAAUUUGAGUUAAAAGUUUAAGAUUUGCACCUUGAGAUUUUAGAUUAUAUAUGAAAUAUUGACUUAUAGAAUUUGGGUUGAAAUCUCCCUUCUCCCUCUUCGCUGUUUAAAUCCCACAUUUCUCUUGCUAGAAUAUAUAUAUAUAUAAAAAGAGAACAUUCCACUUUUUAUUGUUGAUACUUAAUUUUUUUUUACUGUAAGUGAGAGGUCUUGAAUUCGAAAACUCUCACUUACACUUUCUUCCUACAUACCACUCAAUCCAUCUCUACCCCUUUGUUGAUACUUAACUUCCUUCAUAUGUAUUCUUUAUAUGUUUCAAUAAAACUUGAAAAGAGCUUCUAAUAAUUACAGUGAAAACUCCAAAUCUUACAAAUUUUGGGUUCAUAUCCUCUUUUCUCUUUCCCCUUUCUUGCUUCUUAAAUCCUACCAUUUUUUUUGCUAAAAUAUAUUUAAAGGAAAAAAAGGCGCCUGCACGGUAACCCUUAUCACAUUUUUAUGGGUGCCAUGUUAAGUGGAAACCAGUCCAUAGGAUUAAAUGGAAGGGAGAUAUUUGCUCGGGAGAUAUUUGCUCUACUCAAUUCAACCCCUUUUUUCCAUUAACCAAUAUUUUAGUGCACGAAAACCAACUACUACCAUUAACCAAUAUUUCUCUUUUUCCACACAACUUCAACCUCAUAUGACAAUACAUUAUUCAAACUUUGAUCACCAUCUCCUACAAACGAAAAUGGAGGAUCCCAUCCCUUGUUCUGACACCUUGAAUGCUACUAACAAGAAAGGAAUUUCACAAAAAUGUCUUAAUUAUAGGAAAGCUCUUGAAAAGUAAUUAGAAGUCAUGAUCACUCAAUAAAGCGAAACUGCAAGUUAAAAGUUCCGGCUAGACUAAUUAAUACAACCAAUAAUUAUACAAUAUCAAAUGUGAAGUUAAGAGCAUUAUGAGCUGCAACUUUUAAGUAACAUAAGCGAAAUCACAUUUAUUGCUGAUCGUGUGGGUUUGCCUCAAGAGUUGCCGGCUUUUGAGGUUAAAUUUCGGAUUAGGUUUAAUUAAAUAAUUUCUUACUUCUGUAAGAAAAGAAAAAAGGAAAAAACUUUGCAGGGGGUUUCUGAGGUUUGUGGGGGGUCUUUAUCCCUUGGUAGCAGCAGCCUUACAGGCUUCCCUACUCUGUCUAUCCCACAUCGUUCUUGAGGGGGUUAAGGGUUGGAUAGUUAAGUUCUCAGAUUUACCUCAAGAGGUACCGGUUUUUGAGGUUAAAUCUGGAAUUAGGUUUAAUUAAACAAUUUCUUACUUCUGUAAGAAAAGGAAAAAGGAAAAAACUUUGCAGGGGGGUUUCUGAGGUUUGUGGGAGGUCUUUAUCCCUUGGUAGCAGCAACCUUACAGGCUUCCCUACUCUGUCUAUCCCACAUCGUUCUUAGGGGAUUAAGGGUUGGAUAGUUAAAUCCCCAAAUUUGCCUCAAGAGUUGCCGGCUUUUGAGGUUAAAUCUGGGAUUAGGUUUAAUUAAACAAUUUCUUACUUCUAUAAGAAAAGGAAUAAGUGUGGGCUUAUGUAGACAAAUUAGGAUGUCUCUCGUCCCGUUGUCCUUGUGUCAAUCUCGUGCCUGUUUGACAUUUGAAUUAUAUACGCUGGUUUCUUAUUAGUCACCGACUCACCGUAGAAUGGCAGAAAUAUCAAAUAGAAGAACUCUAGCUAGGUGUGCCUCUCGAAUUCCCACUUUCGACUAAAAAGAAAAGUAAAUUUAUUUUUAAGUGUCCACAACAUUUCUAGGGAUAAUGAAAAAGUACUCUGUCGAUGUUUAUAUUGUUUAUCAUUCACUCGUCUAAUGCAAUUAUUAAAAACAUUUGUUUAAACUUAGUUUGAUUUUUAGCAUAAUAGAAAUUGCUACUCUAAAAUAUUAUCAUCACUCUCUUGCAAAUUUUAUGAUCCAGAUUAUGUUAGAGGGAUGGAAUUUAAGAAGUAACAAGAGAGAAAGAUAUUUGAACUCGUAGUUUAUUUUUUUCAAGUUUGAACCUUAAUUAUUAGAUCAAAAUCGAUUCUACGGGAAAAAUUCUAGUUGGUCCUUGAUAAGAAAAUAUACAAGUUUGUAGAAAGUCAAUUAGGUCUGUGUUUUUUUUAUUAGUUACUUGUUUAUUUGUUGCAUUUUCUAUAGGAAAACAAAGACGUGAAGCCAAGAGCAACUUAAGACGUUUUAAUAUGGCGCCAAAUGGGGGCCGUCGUACGUAAAAGUAACUGUUUCGGACGUCUGAGCUGCUUAUUCUUUUUUAUCUCAGUGUUAAAAUCAUUCCCUUGCAAGCAACAACUUAGUCGGAUGACAGCAAAAUUGUCAAUUCAGGCAGGUCAAUGACAGCGACAGGCUAACGUACUCCGUUAAUUGACGGCAUCAGCCAGAUUAUCACCAUCCGGGGCCAGGGGAUGUGGGAGAGAAAAUCAGGUGUUUUUCACACACACCACAGGUCUACAACUGCGCUUGAACUUCUACCAAUUGGGAGCAAAUCAUGGCUGACGAUUUGGGAGCAAAUUUUUGUAGAGCUUUGACUUUUCUUUUAUCAUCAGCAGUCUAACAAAUCCCAUUUGCACUUAUCCACUAAUCUGAUAAUUUAUGAAUUGUUUUUCCAUUUUCUAAUUUGAUCAACAAAAUAUUGUUAAUUUUAUGACUUGAUACUCAAUAUUUUAGUUUAAAAUCAAUUGCGGUCAAUUCCCCCCUUACAUUUUCUUACUAAAGUAAAAAUUUCGACAAAUGAACCUGAAGCCCCGAAAUUACCUUCAAAACCCCUGCAUACAAAUGUGCACCCCAUUUCAAAUGGGGUUACUUUAUAGAUCCAAUGCACUUUGCUUAUAGUCGUCUACUUUUUGAGUCCUCCCACUGCAGCUUAAUAAAAAUUUUUUUCUCUUUUUUUUGUUGACAAUUUAAUGAUAAAGUCCAUGAUUCAGUAUUAAUAAAACUCCGUUCAAAAGUGGAGUCUAAAAUACAAGCAUGUUUGUUUAUUUUUAAAACAACAAAAAAAGCAAAGGAUCACAACUUGAAAUUAAUUCAAAUUUCGAUGAUUUGUCAAAGGCAGUUAUAAUUAGCCUUGUGAUCUCAACUAUUUCCUCAGCUUCACAAAGUAUCUCAGAUGCGAACCAACAAGAAUUUAACAUUAAUUUUUUAUACACUGAUAGUAUAUAUAUAUUUUUAUCAUUAGAUGCAUGACACAUAAUCUGAAUUUGAAUUUGAAAUCCAAAUUUUGCAUAUGUAUCGUGCAUUCAACCGUAAUAAUGUAUACAUUAUCAGUUUAUAUAAUAAUUAUUCUAAAAUUUACCCCACCAACCUUUUAGAAACAUAUAUGAUAUCAAGUUCAAUUAAAACUAUAUGUUGAAUUAGGAUCAUCUUUUCUGUUCGUUGUCUUUCUCCUAUCUCUUUAUGACCCAUAUUUACAAUGGAAGAGGAUGUUGACAUAAGAGCUGAGUGACCAGGCUGUGGACAAGCCAAGAGCACCCCUUCCUAGUCCGCUUAGUCGGUUGAGUAAACAAACUCGGAUUCUAGCAUAUCUUCGGUUGAAAUAUUUACUAAAAUUCCUAUUCCAUAAUUGACUUUUAACAAUUUAGUCCAUUUGGAUCGACGAUUAUGUGGAAAAUUAUUUUUUGAGAUAAUAUCGUUACGCUUCUUGAGAUAUGAUACAUGUGAAAAUAAAAAAAAGUUCAAAAAUAAAAAGUAAUUGAAAAAAAAAACAUAUUUAGGAUGCAAUAAAAAUUUUUUGGAAAAAAUUUCAAUCCAAACACUAAAUACAUGAAAACCUGGUAGAUGCCAUCGCAAGUCAAAAGAGGCCGAAGACAACAUAACCAAGCUGUCAAACUGAAGCCUGCAAUUUUUUCAACGCCCUUAUGGUGGUCCAUGUACGUACCUGAUCUCUAUCCUAACAACUUAAAAGAAAAAAAAGGAAAUACAAAAAACAAAACGGGCCAGAAAAAGAGAGAGAAGACCUUUUUGAUCGCGUGCAGGCGACCGAGUGAUUAUUCCAGCAAUGGACUCUCAUGCUAAAAGGCAAACUUUUUUCACUCAAUGGUUGUUAUUGUUAUUAUACUUAUCAGUAUUUGUAUUAUUUGUUUUUCUUUCACUCACUCUCCUUUUCUCUUUCUUCUCAUUCCACAGUACAUACUUUUCAUGCAUUUCUCCUCUGUCAAAUACAGAACUUUCUCUCUUCUCUUUCUUUGCUUCUCUAUCCAAAUUCAAAGUCUUAACUAAUCUUACAACUGUUAUGGCUGAAAUUUGACUCCUUUUACAAGAAUCCCUGAAAGUUUUGAUUCUGCCCGAGCAUUAAGCUUCUGCUGAUUUAUUAAGUAAGUCCCAGAUUGUGCUUAAUCAUCAUUGUACCAUCCCAGAUUCUAAAAAGAUUAAAUUUUGCUGUUGAUGGUAUGAAUUCGAGUGUCUUAUAGGAGUUUUCGUCUGGGCUUAUCUUUGAAUUUGUUAUGAGCCUGCUGCUUUCGUGUUUCUUGAUUGUUGUUAAAAGUUUAUUUUCACUUUUGUGGGAUUUGUGUGAUGGGUUGGUAUUCAUGUUUUUUUCUUUUGUUGGAAGUUGAAAAAUUGAUCAUUCCACUGAAGUUAGGAAUGAUGCUUCUAUAAGUAAAAUUUUGCGUGGUCGUUGUGCUUGGAUUUCUGUUUCUAGUGUACUAGUUUUAGAGUUGUUCAUUUCUAUAAUGGCAUGAACUUUUUGUAGUCGGUAAAUCAUGCGCACUACAGCAUUUGCUGGAUCAGUCAAAUUUUCUACUUUUACCUGCAAUAACGUCACUUUAUUAGCUUGGAAACGUAUAAGAUAUAGGAAAAAGAAUAGGAAUUUGGAUCACUACAUGCUGUUGGGAAUUCUCAGAUUUUCACCCAUGAUACAAUUAAUUGCAAUUUUCAGGUUGAUAGAUUAUUUCGUUGUGUUGCAUAGUUCAUGUAUUUAACUAAUUAUUAUUCAUCAAGUGUUUAACUUUUAUACUUGAUUCCGUGAACCACAUGCCAAAAUCUGAAGAGGAACUUUAACCUGAACUUGGAAGUUGCUUCUGAGGAUAAAAGUAAAGAAAAUACUGUGCGACUAUUUGUAAUACAAAAUGUCAUUUAUACUUGGCGCUUUUCAACUUUGUUAUAUUAAAAUGGAAAACGAAAUCGCCUAGCUUCUAAAGAAAAAUGAUAUAUCAGGCAAAAUGAUUUUGUUUUCCAAUGUUAAUCUACUCAAUCUCAUUGAUUUGCAGGUUUUUUUAAACCAAUUUUGAGGGGUGCUUUCUGUUUGAUGACAUCUGGUAGCUUUUCGUUUUAUGCAAUGAUACUGAGAUGCCUUCCUAGGAAAAUUGGAGUUUCUGGGCUGUCCCACAGCCUGAAUGGGAAGUUUAUUCGACGUCAUUGACUAUAAUCAAGGCAACAUGGCUAAGAAAGUUGUUACACAAAAAAGACAGGUUGAUGGUGAGUAUAUUGUACGAAGUAUAGAUGGCAGAUGGUGUGCUAGAACUAGCUAUAAUUCUAUAGCUUAUGUUGGCUCCACUUAAUUGAAUUUGUAUUGUUUCAACUGAAAAUUACUGUCUCUUUUUGGCUUUUUUUCAACUCACUAAGGUGAUUGGUUUUGGACUCCUUGGGUUUACUGCUGUGCUGUAAGCUCUUGCUUUACCACGUUUGGUUCAAGGCCGUGCAUUCUCUUGUUUAAGAAUUUGCUAAUUCAGUUGGAUGCCUUAGAAAAAUCAAGUGGCCACUUCUAAUUGAUUUGAAAGUAAACACAUUUUACAUAUUGUUUCCUCACGAGAUUUAUAUUGCUUUUGUAAACUCGUCCGCAGGUUUAGAGGCACCUCGAAACAGCUUGGAGCUGCCAGUAGAAACUUCCCAGAGCUUUCAUGGUGAAGACAAUAGAAUGGUACAACUUAAUCACACUUAUUGCAUUUAAAGAUUUCUCUAUUCCCAUUUUCUUGUUAAUCGUUUCCCGCUAAAGAACUUUCAGGUACAAAGAUGUUGUAGUCAAUUGAUAUGAGCAGUGUAAAGCAGAAAAUGUACAGGUCAAGUUGGAACAUUAAGGUCUGGAGUAAUCAUAAGAAUAGUGUUUAGGAGAGGCAGAAGAGGUGAUUAAGGGUGCUGUCAAUAUUCAACUUUCUCUGUUAGAUCCUUCUUAACCUUAGCAUGUAACUAAAAGAUGUACCUGUAUCUCCACAAUACAUGUGGAUGGAUUGUAUCUUACCAUGUUCUGCAAAUCUGAAUCCACUAUUCUUAGUGUAUCUCAAAUUAUGAGAGACUUAUGGCUUUUAGACUUUUUGAUAUGCUUGUCAUCUCCAAAAUUUUGGACUUUCCACUCUUUUUGGGGUAGGUACCUGGAGUUUUCGCUUAUAUAGUGUUGUUGGUGGUCUUUCUUAUAACAUGGAAACAAGCUAAUUAAUUGUCUUUUCUGAAGAGCUAGGGUAAGAGGGAUGGAAUGAGAGUUGGCAGAUAUUUGUCACAUUUCUUUUGGCUUUUCAGUUUAGAGUUAGCAUAUAUUUAUCGGAUUGACUUUUAUUUUCUUGCUUUUUUUUUCACUUUAAUCGUUUUGUCCAUAUUUUACUGUCUAUCAGAAGGAAUACCAAUAUUUACUGGUAAGGCUUAUUUUUUUACAGAUCCACUUAGCUUUUAUUGCUUCAUGAUAUUAGUUGCAUCUUUGCAACCAGAUUUAUGUCAAGUUUCAGAUUUGCACUUCUAAAACAUCCUUCAAGCUUAAAAGGGCAUAUAUAUAAUGUUAAUCUGGAAUCUGGUGUAUCACAAUUUAUGUUGUGCAAUUUCACUCAAGGUUUCGUAUUUGUUUCAGUUUGAAUAUGAUGUGCCAUACAACUGGCCUGAGAACCAUUUUUCAACUGAGGCUCCAAUGAAAAAGCUGAUCAGUGAAGAAAUAUACAGAAAACAGAACACCAAAUAUAAUGCACCGAGUGUAAUAGCCCGUUUAAUGGGAGUAGAUAUGUUACCAUCAGAAACAAAACCAGUUGCACAGACAGUUGAGAAAAAGAAUGAACUGCAUGCACAAAACUUCUGUCAAGAGAACCUUUUGAAGAAUGCCUCAAUUGGUCAUGUUCCUUAUACAUCAAAGUCUUCCAGACACAAGAAGUUCAAUUCUUUUGACAGUAUUGAAGGAAUGAAUCCCGAUCGAUGGAAUGACAAUGCAAUUUUGGAUAAACCCAGACCUCGUGAACAUCCUCAAGAGGAGGAACUACAGAAGUUUAAAAAAGAAUUUGAAGCAUGGCAAUUGGCAAGGAUGAAGGAAUGUUCUAAGGUCAUCGAACUUGAUUGUACUCCAAGCCAGUGGAUUGCUCAGGAGAACCUCAAUAAGGAAAAGAUGGUUCUUUAUGCAAAUUCAGUUAGAAAGAUGGAAAGUGAAAAGCCCAUUGAACUGAAUGAGGGUAGAAUGGCAGCAACUGAAAGAGAUUAUUUACAUAACAAAAAAAUGAAGUCUUUUACAGGUGGGCAACUGGAGUCAGUUAAUGCAAGGAAAAGAACACCUAGUGUGGAUUUUAAGCUGCCUCCUCUAGUGAAUUCUGGUGAGGAAUUUGAUGCUGCCUCUGGACCCUCACAAAUUGUGAUUCUGAGGCCUUGUCCUGAUACAAUGGGCAAUUGUGAACAGUCUUGGGCAAGUUCUCCAUGUAUUUCAGAAGAGCGGGGUAGUAUAGAAGAUUUUCUUGAGGAGGUCAAGGAAAGGCUGAAAUCUGAGCUGCAAGGUAGAAAUUCUAAAAGAAGCACUAGUGUCAGAGGAGGGGGAAUCGAAACACCAUAUAGCGAAAAGCCAUCAGAUCCUAAACAGAUAGCUCAACGCAUAGCAAAACAGGUCAGAGAAAGUGCUACUAGGGACCUUGGAAUGAACUUAUUUCGCUCAGAAUCUACAAGGUCUUAUAGAAGUGAAAUUCAGUUCAAUGGAAUGGGUUCUCCUGAGUUCAUUAGCAGAGACACAAGAAGAUUCUUGGCAGAAAGGUUGAGAAAUGUUCUGAAGGAAGAAAUUCAACAAGGUGUACCUGUUGUUGCUCAAGGAAGCACAAGAUCAUCAAUGUUGAGUAAUGGAAGGAGAAGAACAGAAGAAUCAAGAAAAGUCUUGAGUGGAAAAAAUAAAUUGAGGUAUUGGGAUGGCAAGAAAGAUGAAUCAGAUUUUCAAAGCAGAUCUUUCAGACGGGAGCCCAAUGACAAUACAGAGAUCCAUGAGGAAUUAUCUCCAAGGAACCUCAUUAGAUCUUUGUCUGCCCCAGUAUCGGGAACAUCAUUUGGGAAGCUGCUCCUUGAGGACCGGCAUAUGGUGACUGGGGCUCAGAUCAGAAGAAAGCAUGAAGCAUUCGAAAAGGUGACAUUGAACGUGAAAAGGAGAAAAAAGGAAAAGUUCAAUCUCCGAGAAAAAGUUACUAGUCUCAAAUACAGUUUUACACUUAAAGGUAGGCUCUUUGGUAGAAAGAUCCAAUCCUUAGAGGAUCAACAGGAUAAUAAACCGGAUUGUGUGAAAGAUUUCUUGAGGCGGCCAAGCAUCAUGAUGAGCUUUUAUGAUAGACAUGUAAGGAUCUUUCUGAUUCUUCUUUCAAUUUUUCCUUCCAAAUGAAAAAUGUUUCCAAUAAAAAGGUUUCUUGUGAACAAACCCAUUGAGGGUGAGUUGUGACUUAACAUUAAUAGUGUCUUAUGAAUCUAGGAAAAUCCUACCGAGGUGCCUCCAAGUCCUGCAUCUGUGUGCAGCAGUGUUCAUGAAGAGUACUGGAGGCCAGCAGAGUAUUUUAGCUCAACAUCAGUAUCAGAUGUAGCAUCGGUAGAGGAUGGCAUGAUGCCAAACGUUUUUAGAGAGAUCAGAUCGAACUUAAAAGGUAAGUGAAGACAAUUGAAGAGACAAUUGCUUCAAUUGUCUUCAACGAUCUCUAAAUGCUAUUAGGACAUUACUAUUAGUUUCUAGAUCAAGUAGUUGCAUUUGCUUGGUCUCUUGAAGCAAACUGACUCUCUGUAGUGAAAGAUACAGCACUUGGAUAGUUUUCUUGUAUAUUACUUGUGAUUUGCAAAGUAUGCCUGAAAUACAAGGUUGCAUGGAGUUUAAAACAAUAUUUAACAGCACAAUUCUUUUCAGAUGCUAACAGUAUUUUGGUUCAUUGAUAACACAGAGCUAAGGAGGCAAUUGAAUGAACUCGAAACUGAUGGUUCCAAGGAUGCCAUCAAUGAUGAGCAGCCAACGGAAACUGAUAUCAUUGAGAUUGAAGACCCAGUGGAAGCAUAUAUUAGAGAUUUGCUUCUCUUUUCCGGUUUGUAUGAUGGUUCAUGUGAUAAAGCGUUAGCAAAAUGGGACCUACUGGGAAGGCCUAUCACCAAUCAGGUAUUUGAAGAAGUGGAAGAAUCUCACAAACAUAGGAAUAAGGAUGAUGAAGGGUCCAUUAAGGAUCAAGGUGAGAAGUCAAAUCAUAAAAUACUGUAUGAUUUGUUGAAUGAAGCACUUCCAAAUGUACUUGGACCACCUGUGUCAAUGUCUAAAUUCAUGAGAAAGGCCAGUCAUCCUGCCGUGCGGCCAUUACGUGGAAGGAAGUUAUUGAAUCAAGUGUGGCAAAUUAUCAGUGGUUAUGUACAUCCCCCACCAGACAAAUCUUUUUAUUCUCUUGAUAUGAUGGUUGCACGAGAUCUGCAGUCCUCUCCAUGGUCUAGAUUAAUGGAUGAUGAUGUCAAUGCUCUAGGAAAGGAUACGGAAUCUCAGAUUUUUGGAGAUCUAGUUGAUGAAAUGGUCAAGGAUUUACAGUCCAAUUUUAUGGAAGAAAAAUCCUGUGCAUGUGGAGCCUUGUGAAUUCUUCUUACCAAAGCAAUGCAGCUGCUCUAAAACUGAGACUUGACUACUUGAGUAACAUGCCAAUGUCUUGGUAUGCCUAAUUGAGCUGACAAAAAUGAAUUCUUUCACUACCCGGAAGCACUUAAUAUAGAUAUAGUUGAAUGUUUACGGUAGUAUUAUUUGUGGAUGCCUUUUGUUGUUUGUAUAGGACUUAGGUCUGUCUGGGGUUGUGGUGUAAAUUGGUUGGUGUAUAGGUAUAUAUUUUUUGGUCACUCAGUGUUAUUUAUUCGUUUGAAUGAGUUCAUCAAUUGUCAAAUACAAAGUUUGGUUGUUUUAGAAGCCAAUACAGCAACAGCUUAGCCCAGCAAAUGAAUCAAUUGGCAAGAAUUCAAAGAAGUCCAUCCUGAGAGUACGCGUUCAUUUCUGUAAAUGUUGCUGAUCUUUGGGACAAAAUCUAUCAAACACACAUGCAAACCAAGAAAAUAGAAAGCCUAAUGAUUUCCUAGCCCGGGAAGUCUUUGUCAUAAAGUGGUCGAGGCAGAAAACUUAAUCCCACUCAAAAACACUUUUCCGACAAAAGGGAACACUAAAAUCUCAUGCAUGCUGAAAAAAAUUUUGUAAGAAAAGGUAACACGGAAAAAGCAAUUCACCAUGACUACAAAAAGUCUUAAGGUGGAUGUCCUGAUAGGAUCUCCACUACUUCCAAGAUAUACAAGAAAAUUCAGGGUUAUUUAGUACAUUAGUUGUGACUUGGGGUUGGGGAUCCAAUAUUAAGCUCCCAUGCGAACAUCAAAGAAUUUCAUGUUCUUCCCAUAUUAGAUGGGCAAACAGCUUUUGCUUACGAGCUUGUUUGGUAAACCAAUUUAUCCUGUUUGGGCAGUGUUGAAGAAGAGCAAUAACUUUGGCCUUGUUUGGCAGCUGUUACAAGUUUUUUAAUAACUUUAGUUACAAUAAACUUCUUGAAGUUUUUUUAAACUAUACACUUCAAAAAUUCAAAAAAUUUUUCUAUAAUUUCUACAGUAAGUUACAGUAAAAUUUUAGACAAACACCCAAAAAAUCCACUUGUCAAACGGGUUUGUUGCAAAGCGCGUACGCUGUACAGUAAUAAACUACUCCACAUUUUUUCCAAUCACAUUUGCAGCUUUGAACCUUGUUGCUUGAUCCUGUAAAUCCUAGAAUCUCAUCAUAUUUCCAGUUCCUUUUGGACAUGACUUGCAUCAGGGAUAUUUUGAAUAUGGUUAAAGUAUCUGUCAUCAGCAACAAAUUUCAGAAAAUCCUUUGUUUUUUUUGGAGGUUAAGAUUAGUAAGUAACAUUGCUAAAAUUCUUUUAAGAAUCUAUUCGUGUUAGCGAUAACAACCACUACUACUAAAAUUGAGCAUAAAAGAUAGUACGAAAUUGUGGCAUAUUUUGACUUCAAUUCCGGCAAGUAACUCUUUAACAUAUUAGGAAUCCAAUGUAUCGCAUGCAUGGUUCACCACUAUCCCAAACUGAUGGCGAAAAAGCAUGCACCUGAUUACUCUCAUAAUGCACCUGAUUAGACACUAAUUAAUAAUUAUGUCCUACUUUUUGGCUGCAAAUAUUUUUUUUUUUGGUUGGAGAAAUGCAUGCAUUGUAAUAGGUCUCAUUUCCCCAUUAGCAUUCCUAUUAGCAUUCUCUAAAUCGAAUCACCAAAUCUUUUCAACCGUAAGCCUAUAUAAUUAUCGGAAAUCACUCAAGUUUAUUUGGUUUGGCGAAAAUAUUAAGAGUUCAUAAACUUCGAACAUUUAAACAAAGCAAUCGACCGUUCAAUGCAUAAUGAUGCAGGUUUUUAGAGAGACGGAUAUUAAAAAAGAAAAACAAAAUUUGCAGUCAACAUCCUUCACAAAGUCGUGUACAACAACCUAUUAAUUGAUGCACUCGGUGUUUUUGUUCUUAACUACAAUUUGGUAAAACUAAGCUUUCGUGUCUUUAUUACUCCUUCUAAUUAAUUUGUAGGAACUACAAAUGUAAACAAUUUAGUGGAGGAAUGGGUUAUGUCGCACGGAAAGCAGAAGUGUAAAUAAGAGAUCAUUGGUUCGAGACCUCCCAAUUAUACUAUAAAAAAAAAAGAAUAAAAAAGAGUAAAGAAUUAACACUUUAGUGACAGGACAGGAAUAUUUCGGUGGGCAUUUGUCUGGCCAUCUGCUGCGCCGCCGCUGCGGCUGCGGUGCACAUGCCAUGUCGGUGAGUCUCCGGUUGUCCGCUGCGGACAAAGACGUGUGUGCGGAACUCAACCUGGUAUGGCAUUAAUCCAAAUUGUCACCAACCAACCCCAUAAAAAAUUUUUAAAAAAAAAAAAAAAUUUUUGGAAGGAGAAGGAGAAAGGAAACGAGGAAUUGUCACGAGACAAGAUUGGGGUGAUGUACGUAUGAUUUAGGAAUUCUAGGUGAAAGGUUGGAUCUAUCUACAGUUUGGGUCAUUCUUAAUGAUUUUUUCUUCGGAAAAUUUGGCAUCAUACUCCAAAGUCCAUGGAUUUCGUUACACUUUGAAGAUGCCGAAUUUACCAGGUAAGAUGCAUGUGAGGAUGCACGUUAGUGUCAAAUGAAAGGAAGUUUCGCGUUAAACUUAAUCAUGAUGAUUUAUUCCCAUGAAUGUUUUGUACCAAAAAGUCUCUGCUUCUCACGCAAACCUCACUCCUAUUUAUGGAUUUUGAUCUUCUAAAAUAUUAAGCAAACACGCAAUAUAAUAAAUGUAUGGACUCAAUAGCCAUAUUAUAUUGGAAGGCAAGUACAAUUAACCCAGCAACUCAAAUGUAAGACAUGCAUGUGUUUGGUUUUUCUUUUUCUUUUCCCCCUAAAAUUUUGAAAGCUUUUAAAAAUCUCCUUUACAUAUUAAACUUUUUUCACCCUCCAUAAAGAUCUUACGUCAACUUCUAUUUUGGCGCUAAAGUUGUGCAUGUGCGUAAAGAUUAUCCUCUCAGAGUAGCCUUCCUUGUUCUCUGUGAAUAUAUUUUCCAAUCACCUUUUAACCUCAUGUAUAUCAAAUUACUAUAAUAAUUUUUUUUUUACAAAAAAUUUAGAAAAAUGACCUUAAAUUCAGAAAAAUGCAAUCCAAACAUGACCUUAAAUUUUAUGGUUUGAUCCCUGCAUAGAGCAACCGGCCAUGAACUACUACUAAAUUUUCAUUUUUCAAGUCAUAAUUAAUUUCCCGGUGUGCACGACUAGCUCGCUUUCUCAAUUCUAUCGUAAUUAAAGAUACAUGAAUCCAACAAUUUAAGCAAGAAAAUGAAAGAAUAUCUCACAUAAAACUCAUCAACCGAGUUCUUCACAUUGCAAUUUUCUGGAGUUUUUGCAAAAAAAUAUACUGUAUCGAUUUAAUAUAUAUAUGAUAAAAAGAUGAUUUUUUGAAAAUAUGUUCACGACAAAUAUAAAGAUUUUUUUGAUGAAAAAUCUCUUUCUAAACAAAGUCCUUCCCAGAAUUACGGUCACAUCAAGCGACCAUAAAAAUUCAAGGUUGAUGGAAGAUCAGCGUUGAACUAACUUCGUUGUAGUACAGUAUAGCAGGCAAGUUGAACGUUGAUGGCUGCUUCCAUUGCAGCCCCGAAUCCACACCAGUGUUGACUGGAUUGAAUUCGUGAGAAAGGGAAGAAAAAUGAAAAAUAGUGGGGACAAACGGAGAAUUAUAAACGUAGAAGUAGCCUGCCUCUUAAUUUUUCGCCAUAACGGGCGAUAGAUGCGCUCCUGCUUUUUGAUACUGUGAUGGCAACGCUGUGGUCGUCAAAAACACUCGUCAACACAGCCCAACACUGAAUGAAUGAGUACUCCCGGUCUCCUACUCCAAUCCGACCAAACAUUUCAUUUUCUUCAUUCUUCUAGCUAGAAGGUUUUCUAAGGGCUAUUUUUGUUUUAGGAUAAUAAGAACGCCACACACGCUAUAAUUUUAAGAGUUAGAAAUAAUUUUCAACGAUUAAUUCGUUCUUCUCAAAUCUAUACCUAUCUUCUUUUUUUGGGAUAAUUUCAGAAACCUCCCCUGAGGUUUCCAUUAAUUACAAAUAGCUCCCCUCAAAUAUUCAAAAUUACACUUACUACCCUUACUUUUACUAUUUAGGUAACCAUGUAGCCCCAAUAACCUAGAUUCUUUUUCAGUAAUCCUAAACUACCCUUCUACUAAAAUUGUGAAAAUAAAAAGGAAAAUAAUUUAGUCAUCACCUUCCACCUAUACACUUUUGCAACUAAUCAAGCAUUCCCAACUCAAUCCCUCCCUACAAAUAUGAUAGAGUCUCAAAUUCACUCCAACUCAGUCCCCAAAAUUUGGGCAGUUACAAAAUCCCCAACCUCUACUCAAAUGCUUUCAAUGCAAAUCAAUUAUAACAAUCACCUCAAAUAUCCAAAUGUUUCUACAAUUCAUCUAUUUCAUUCCUUGCUCAAAAUUAACCAAUCUCAAAUUCCAAACUGUGAUUUCAUUGGCUGUCAUCUUGCCAAACAUAAAACAAUAUCCUAGCCUACGACCACCAAUACCAAAGAGCAAUGCUUUUACAUAGCAAAGCAUGUAGUUUAGUAAUAUUCCAUCAACAUCUAGGGAUCUAUACCAACUUUGAUAUCCAUAGCAAACUACUAUCAACUAUUGCAAAUCAAUUAAAGAAACCCAAAUGCAGCUGUUAAUAUACAAGAAAAUUUAUCUUUAUGGAAGUCAAAAUUGUAUGCCCCUCAUCUAGACCUCUUUCCCUUUCAACCAUUAGUUUCUUUUUUUUUUUCUUUUCAAAUCUAUCACUAGUAUCCUUUUCGUAUUUAUCUAUUUCGACAAUAAAAUUGACUCACCUCAAUUUAUUAUUUGGCAAUUUCAAGUCAUUAGCAUCAGCAAAGCAUAAGAAAAGUUGGAAAAUCAAAAGGUUCUAAUUACUGAGAAUGAGAGAGGCGGACGUAGCUUUGCUGUCAUUAUGGUCAGUGCGAACAGGUUAUGGGAAAAACAAGAAAAGAGAUAGGACUCAAGAGAGAUGGGAAAAACAAAGAACUAUAAGUAGUUGGUGAAUUUGUGGCAAGAUAGAUAGUAGUGACAAUUUUUUUUUUUCCGUUUCACCAUUUUGUUUCAUCGCAUGGUAUAGAUUAUCUAUUUAAUAAAGGACAUUGUUGUCAUUUCACUGCAUCAAUGGAGGGUGGUGUAAUUUUCUAAACCUAAGGGGAGCUAUGUGCAAAUGCAAGUAACCUCAGGGGAGGUUUCUGAAAUUAUCCCUAUUUUUUUUUUUAUCAACAAUUGCCAAGCACAUGAAUUGAAUUCUCAUUUUCUUAGCGUCUUACAUGCAUGUUAAUGUCGUGUUGGGAUAAUUUGAUUGAUUUUCACAUGGAGUCCUCACUCCAAAGUCUCUAAUUCGAGUUCCAAUUGUUAUUGUUCUGGGUAUUGGCCGGACCUGCUCAACCCGGGUACUGUGAAAUUAGUCGAGUGUCGAUCCGGAUAUCCAGAAAAAGAAAAAACAUGCAUGUUAAUGAAUAAUUUGGUAAAUUAGGCUUCUUCUUUGUACGGCGCACGGUACACCGUAUACGAAACUAAGCUCUGCUAAUCAGAAUCUUCCUGAGAUCACACGUGCCACAUUGGAUGUGAUCUUGACGUGAUCAGGACGGUGUGUGUAGCACGGUCACGGUGUUCCUCGAAGUAGCUGAAUAUCCUUCUAUUUUAUUAAUGCUAAACAUCAGCGUUUGUGACUUGUCAGUUGUCCAGAGGCGGGAACCUCACCCGCCCGGCGCGCUAGGCUGCUGCCAGAAUUAUUGCCCGGGCAAAUAGAAGAGUAUUAUUAUAAUACAGUAGCAGUAACUAGUAAUUAUUUUUGUUAUAGUGAAGUUUAAUCUGGUUGAGAAUUGAUUAAAAAUGUUUACCACGAUCGAACAAAAUGUCACACAAGACAAAACAAAGCAAGUAUGUGAGGGAAAAAGGUAAUAGGGAUUGCAUUUUCCGUCAUUUUUCAUGGAAAAAUUACUGUAACGAUUUGAUGUAUGUGAGGGAAAAAGGUAAUAGGAAAAUGUGAUCACGGAAAACGACGUAAUUUUCUGGCAGAAAAUGGCAAUCCAAACAGGGCCAUUUUGGAGUGCAUUAAUUUGGACGACUUCUCCUCACUAUUUUCUUUUUUUUUUUUGUUUCAACUAACGAAUGAAUGCUUGCGUGACAACUUUACGUGCACUUCUUUUCAAUUUCCUAAAAUAUAAGGAGACUUUCAAAUUUUAUUAAUGUAUUGCUAUGCAAAAUUCAUGACCAAGACUAAAAAAUUAACCCAUAUAGAGCGCGAGGGAAAAAAUUAUAGAAUUUUUAAAUAAGUGCUUAAUAGCAGUCAUUAAUACAUUUAUUUUAAAUAUAAUUUAUCAUUUAAAUACACAUAUUUACUUUUUUUUAUACCAAACACAUUUUUAAUUGAAAAAUAAUAUUAACACUCCUUAAAAAAACGUUAUAGUACGAGGUGUUUUGAAGAGUGCUUGUAUCAUUUCCUUUCAAUUUUAUUUCACUUACUUCAAUUCAAAGCCAACAUGUGAGGGCCUUUUCAACCAGUGCCAAUUGGCACAGUUUGACAAAUGCGAAACUAUAUCCCAAAACAAGAAAUGGAAACAUAUUCAAAUACAGGAGAGACGUGCAGAAGAAUUAAAUAAAGAAAAGAUAAUUGGAAAUACGUCCAACUCUUGUCUUUAUUAUGGUCCAAAUUUCUUGCCUUUACUUUCUCGCUACCUUUUCUCUCUGCCUGCCCCCCUUACUGACUUUAGUCUCUUCUUUACUUCAUUCAAGAAAGAUAAAAGCCUCAGAUUGCAGAGAGACAUAGAUUUUGUCUGUACAAUUUGUAAUGAGAGUACAUAACUGAAGUCAUCAAACCAAGCAAAGUAGCAUUCUUUAUGGAGUGGGAUAAACAACCACCUCAGCAGCCACAAGCAACAACAGCUGCUGCUGCAGCAGCAGCAGCAGCAGCAGAGGAACUCAAUAAUGGAGGAAUGUUUGUUAAAGUUAUGACUGAUGAACAAAUGGAAGUUCUCAGGAAGCAAAUUGCUGUUUAUGCUACCAUCUGUGAACAGCUUGUUGAUUUGCACAAAUCUCUCACUUCCCAUCAUGAUCUUGCAGGUUUUCUAGCAGCCCUUUCUCUCUUUUUGUCUGCUUAUCAUCUUUACUGUGUGAAUGUGUGUAAGUUUGUGUUCAUGUUUGAUCGCAAUUUUGUUUUAUGUUCAUUGAAAUUAGAAAAUAAUGCGACCUUUUAACAGGUUUGGUAAAUCUUGGUAAAGGGUGUUGUUGGGAUCAUAUCUUGCUUGUUGAAUUUCGAGACUUGUCUUUUACUGCUGCUACUUUACCAUUUCUUGCUAUUCAAUUGAUAAAAGUGCUGUUUUUGGUUUUUACAAAUGUAUAUAUUGUCUUAGUUUUCUCACUUUUCUUCAAUGGGUUGGGUGUGAGAAGCCACCUCAAAGGGGUAUAAGCAAAUAUUUUGACAAUUGUACUUCGUCUAGAGUUCAAAGCGUUCACAUUCCUUGGUAUCUUUCAAUAUGUCUGGUCAAAGUUUUUUAAAUUCGUUCAUUGGGUUUGUUUAUAUACAUAGUGUACGUUUUAAUAAAAUUUUGAAAAAUUAUUUAUGAUUUGAUGGGGAUUCCAAAGUGGAGAAACCUAUUUCUUAAAGAUUCCCGGCAAGCUAAUGGCAGCAGCAGAAUUAAAGUAUCAAUAUUUAUUUAAUUUUGAGAACAAGUACAAUAUCAAUUUUCAUGUAAAUAACUCGGAUUAUUUGUGCUCUUCCAAAGUCCUACCUCUGACUCUUUGAUUUUAACUAGCAGCGAUUCCUCAUCUCUUAUUUCUCGGCAAGUUAUUGAAGAGUAUUCCACUUGUGAAGCCAUUACAACCUUAGUCUUCCUUAUGCUUCUGUGAUUUUAACUACCUUCUUGAUCGCCAUUUCUUCCAGAAACACGGUUUUUGACUACUUUACAUGUUAGCCAAAUUUGUUUUAAUGGCCUGGUCAUUGCAAACUUUGGCUUUCAAAACGUUCAUCUAGAUGAAGCGGACUGACUUGGCUGUAUUUGUAGCAUUAGACUGCAGUCAAUGAAAGGUAGUCUGCAUCUUCUAUGCACUUUUUUCCAGCCCAGUAGUCUUCUUGUCCACAAAACUGUAAGCAGAGAAGAUGUUUCUUGAAUUCCAACAGUAUGUGAAGGUUCUAUCAUAUCUAUACUCAGCCUAUUUAAUUUAAUUUGGCACAUUUAGAGGGACUCUUGAAACUGUGAUGUUUUCUUCUAAGGUCCCAUCUGCAAACAAACCAUGCGAUAUUCUGAAAUUAUAGUGAGGAUAAAUAACCAACACAGUUGACUGCAUGACUGGAUAACCUGAAAUCUUUGUGCACUGAGUAGAUCUCGUGGCGAUUACAAUUUUCAGAGUGUGAUCUUUCUUUGAUGUAUGUGAAACAGAAGACGUUUCAUAUCUUUGCAUUCCUCAUUAUCUGGAAUGAAUCUGCCCUUAAAAUGGGCAAACUGAUUUUCUUUUUGCCGUAAGUUGAGCUCUGCAUGUAGCAGUUAUCUGUUAACAAAGUAUACUUUGUUGAUGACAGUGGCAAACACCAGAGGAUUUGUAAUAAUUCAAAACUUGUCAUAAUCUCUUCUUCCUUGCAUUGAAUGUUGAAGAGGACGAAGUCCAAUUCCUGUUUAACAAGCCCCUUCAUCUUGAUUCUACUUUUUGUUGAAGGAAGAUUGAGUUCCUGUUGUUUCAGGUGCCAGACUUGGAAAUCUGUACUGUGACCCACUAGUGACAUCUGCUGGUCAUAAAAUUACUGGUAGACAACGUUGGACCCCUACACCUGUCCAGCUUCAGAUUCUUGAGCGUAUAUUUGAUCAAGGGAAUGGAGCUCCAUCCAAGCAGAAGAUCAAAGAGAUAACUAAUGAAUUGUUACAACACGGUCAAAUAUCUGAAACAAAUGUCUACAAUUGGUUUCAGAACAGGCGUGCUCGAUCAAAGAGGAAGCAACAAGCAGCUGCAUCAAACAACAUUGAAUCGGAAGUGGAGACAGAGGUUGAAUCACCCAAUGACAAGAAGACAAAGCCAGAGGAUUUGCAGUCUCCACACAUUCCAACUUCAAGGAACGAGGAACUCUGCUUUCAGAACACUGAUGUAAGCUCAGGGAUGCUUUCCAUUGACCCACGUAGCAGUAAACCAGAGCCGAUGUUCCCUUCAGAUGGCAGUUCAAAGUCAGCUGGGAGUUUUGGCCAGAUGUCCUUCUAUGGAAGUAUGUUAUCAAACCCAAGUAUGUAUUUCCUUUUAACAUCCUACCUCCGUUUAGUCACUGAAACGAACACUUGUCAUAACCUAGUUAAAUUGGUUGACUACAUUCUCAAACUUGAGAUCGUCAACUGGUUGUAUUUUGAUGAUCCAACAUAUCUAUCCUACCGAGAAUAUUUUUCAUAGCACUUCUUAGCAAGAAGCAUGUUAGCUAUAUUCACAUUCUUAGAUGUACAUGCUUGCUAUCAGAGAUCUGAGCACCAUUUACGAGCGUAACUCAAACUCCAAGUUAGCUAAAGGCCAAUCUCCUACUUGGAGAUGGUAGAACUAUAUAUUUGACCCCAGCUAGGAUUACAAAUUCGAUUCAUUUGCAAGGCUUUCUGAUAAUUUCACUUUCCAUUUGUACUUUCUACAAAAUGAGUUGCCUCAACCCAAAUAAAUUGUCAGUCGAAUUGAAAUCACGAUCUAUAAGGAAGAUUUAGCUUCUAUAAUACAUUCAAUAGUCGAAUUGAGAGGGCUGAUGUUGAGGUUCUUACAGAAGGUGCACCUAUUUCGAGAAGUCAUAAAAUGUUGUAUCUAAUUGAGCACGUAUGCUUGCAUAUUAUGAUCUUGAUAACCCUGGAUAACGGAUAUCUUUGUUCUGCAUUUGUUGUGCAUUCGAUAACACCAAGCAUAUUCAAUGGGUGUAGGAAUGGACCAGUUGCUUGGGAAGAUGGAGGUGCCGGAAAGCUACAGCCCUUAUCUGCAUGCAGAAGAUUACAACAUGACAGGCUGAUUUAUUGUGUUUCCACUUGUUCCUCGUUUGUGUUUAGCAAAGAAAAAUAUGGAGGGUUGUAACUGAAGACAUUGUACGCAGUCCCAAACACAAAGUGAAAUGUUCGAGAGUUGUAACUGAAGACUUUAUAGGCAGUCCCUCCUCUUUGCAACCUGAUGCUGAUUAUUUUCAGUGAUGGAUGUUAGAAGCACAUUUGAUCAUGUCUAGAAUAUAUGCUCAGAGCUGAACAAUAUGGUUAGUUGGUUGGCUUUAUAUAUCUAUAUAUAUAUUUCAGGAUUGUGGAUUUCUGAUCUUCUCUAUCUGGUGCCAACCUACUCUAUUCUAAUCUAGGGGGAAGGAGGAGCCUAAGGAGGCUGUGGUUGGGGGGAGUGCUAUGACACAACUCUUAGAUUUUUUUUACUACAGGUGAGGUUUGAACCCUCACCUACAGUUCACCGGUCGAGAUUAGCCCAGUGGUUUGUACAGGGAAUUAGCCCAGUGGUUUACAUUUUCUUUUACUCUACAUCAAAAAUAUAGUCACGUUUCUUUAAAUCAUAAGAAUCAAGAAGACUACACCUGGUACUGGACUACUGUAAAUUUUAAUCACCUUUUGGCUAACAAGACUUUAGUCUUCUAGUAAAAACAAUCAAGAUUCAUGUUUCAAAGUUAUAAAUUGUACGUACUUGGUAUACGUUCCUUCAAUUGUGGAUUGAAUUGUUGUGACCAAAAAAAAAAAAAAAAGAAACGCACGCACAAACACCUUUGGCUUUUUUUUUUUACAUGCUUUAAUUUUUUUUUUUUUGAUACUUAAAUCACAUGUAACAAACAAGAAAAUACAGUUUUAACUACUCGAAUCAACAUGAAUUAGGAAUUUGUGCAAUUGUCAUGCCCAAAACCAUAUAUAUACUACUGUUGCCCAAACCCCGUGUUUUGUAAAACAUUGAGCGUGAAAUGUGGAACGUGAUAAACCUAAUUAAUGAGCCAUAGAAAACCUUUAAAACAAAAUGAUGAAGUGGUCAUUUUAAGACGGAUUUCAACAUUAGUCAUUUUAUGCUUGCUUCACUAUUCAUGGAGCAGAAUUUGUUAACUCCCCAGAAAGAUUCCUCCCGAAGCCCACCUCCUAACUUCCGAGUGAGGAGUUGAAAUGGGUGAAUCCUCUGCAGCGGCUGAUGCGUACGAGAAUGGCAGAUACAAAUACAUACACGAUAUUCACAAGGGCCCACCUGAAGCCAUAGACGUUCAUCACAUUGUUCUCCAAAGAAGCAGUCAAAAGAAGCUCUUAAUUUUCUGCUUCCUUACUUUGCUUCUCUUCGCAAGUUCUCCCUUCUUCUUCUUCUUUCUUCAACAGGUAUUUAUUUCUUUUGGGCCAACUUCAGUCUUUAAUUCCUUUUUUCUUUUUGCUUUCCAAAUUUUUUUCUUCUGGGUUUUGAUUAUAUGGCAAGAGACAUUUAAAAAAAAAUUCCGUUCUUAUUGUUUGUUGGAAUGUCAAUUAUGUUUCGAAUUUUGUUCAUUUGGGAUUCGGAAUAUCAGAAGUGUCAUAUGACUUUAGAGAUUGAUGAUUAUGCAAUUUUAGUGCAAAGAUUUGUUGGAGGAACCAAUAUUCAGAACGUUAAUGGAAAAAUCUCUGCUGUCAAUGAACGAUUUCAUGGCUUUGCUCAGAAUUCUUGCUGAUUUCCUUGUUCUUGAAACGUCAUUGACCAAAAUGCGGUGUAUCUAAACUGUAAUUUAUUGAGUACAGAGUUGAUGGUUUAUUGUGUCUAACAUGAUGGGAAUAUGAAAUGCAGCUUAAUUUACUUACCACACUUCCAUGGAGUCUGCUUUUGGGUGGAUUGUUUGUCAGACUGUUAUCGCAGAAACUGGUUAAGAAAGGUAAAAAGCUGCAAAACUGGCCUAUUAGCACUCACCUUGCAACCCCUAUGGAGCAAAACAAACCAAGCAUGAAAGUUGCGUAGGAAAAAAAUGAUAAGUGCGCUUUGUAUUUACGGCUGUGAAUGAUGCAGCUGCUAGUUUUCAUUUCACGCGUGUAAGGCAUCAGGUGCCAUCAGUUAUUCAGAAAUUCUUUUUAUUCUGCUUACUGCAGAGUCUGUUAUCAUCCUGCCAGCUUUUGGGGUUCAGCUUGAGACUCAAUAUGGAAGGUACCUUUCAAUCUUGCACACGGAUGUGAUCUUUCAUUUCUUGCUAGGUUAUUCAAAACAAACCUCUUUCCUGUGGUUCCAUGAGUGGGAAUGUAGAUAUGCAAUUCACAAUCUGUUCUAAAAUUUGAAACGCUUAAUUUAGGACUUCUUAGACCACAAAAGCUGUGUUGUUGGAAGAAGUUUUAAUGGCAUGAUUUUUCUUAAAUGAAAGUAAAUCUUCUGGUAAAUAUAUCUUCCACAAAACUCGAAGUCAUAAUAUAUAGGCAUACAAUUAGCUUAUAUAUUGAAGGCAGACGAGUACUUAAAUAUUUCAUCAAAGAGUUUGCUUUUGAGCAUUGCUAUUCAUUAUAACAUGUUUGACUGAAAAGUUUUUGACUUUUUAAUGAAUAUAAUCGGGUUGGAUUAUAUAGUGAAUUCUGAUGGAAGAAACAUCACGAUCAUUAAGUACAAUGGCUGCUAUGCAUGAGGCCAUGUACCUAGGAGCAGUCUUGGCCGACCUCUUGUGAUCAACAUCGAAUGUGAGCAUAUUUUACCCUUAAAUCCUCAUCCGACAAUUUUUUGACUAGGCAUUCUUUUUUGGCAGUGGAAGAACCAUUCGCCGCUUUGUUCCCAUUAACAAGAUCUUGAAACCUGUGCUGAAUGAGUGUGUGACCCCAGUUACUUGUUACUGGAGCCUAGCCCUGAUUAUACGUGGAGAAGAAGAACUCAUGUUGGUAUUUAAGGUGAAGGAGACUCCAAGACUCUUCAAAUGGUCACUGUUAACUUGCACUUUCCAUACCCCUACAAAACCUGCUCACUAACUAUUUUAAAUGAAAUUAUUUUGCAGGAACUCUAUCCACCUGUAAAAAUGUUAGUGCCCAUCUGGAAGGCUGUCUGUGCUGCUAUUGAUGUUGAGGAAACAUGACAGCAGUCCCAUUACACUUUGGGAACUCCAGAAACAGCUCUUAACUCUCUAAUUUAUAUGUAUUUUUGGUCUAGAGUAAACUAUGAAUACCUUUUCAGUUGUUUACUCCCCUUCGGUGGACAGAAUAUGCUAAUCAUGUUCUUUGGUAUGCAUAGAAUAUGUUUCCUGUGAAGGAAAGGAAUGGCUGCGUUAAUUUUUAUGCCUCUUCAAGGCAAUUAAUGCAUCGAGUAUCUGCUUCCUCUGAACUAGUGAACUUUAUAGUUGGUAAUUUUUUUUUUUUGCCUGGUUUUCUUGUGGCUACACCUUUUAGGACUUCAACACCCACAACUUGGCAUGAAUUUGUUCUUUUUCGGGUCAAUCGGCAACUCUGCUCCUACUCUAACCUUUAUUAGGGGGGGACCCAAUUGGGCCAAGGGAGGCGAGAGGAUCCCGCCUUUGAUCUGCUGAUUUUGUUGCUCGUUUUCUGUUAAAGAUGUUUAUUUGAUGAUGAAGUUGAGUUUGUUAUGAUCUAUCAUACGCCCAGUUAGCUUUUCUUGAAAAGACACCAGAGACGCUUGCAGCAUGGGUGAUCUAAAUGGAAAUCAGUAGAUUCCAAAUGAAGCAUUUGGUUUAUUAUAUCCUAACACCCCUAUCUAACAAAAUGCACAUUUUAAAUGAGGCCGGAAUUAUGCAUCUUAUUCAAGCGAAUUGUUGGGCAGCACCCGGGGCACCUUUAAAAGCACUCAACUCCAAUCUCAGUAUUCCCCACAAUAAGAUUGCAGCAUAUGUCUCGGCACCGGUUGAAAAGAAUUUCAGUUCCCUAUAUUUUUGGGGUUUAAUUAUGUUAAUAUCAAUGAAGAGAAUCUAAUUUUAUUUGUACAGUAAUUGAAGGACAAAUGUACAUUUUCUUCCUGUAUUAGGAGCCAACGGACAGCAACCGUACAGCUCUAACCCUAUGCAAUUCAAAGAAUGGUAUCAUUUUACAUUUUGAAGGUAUUGAUGUACAACAUGUACAAUAUUUGUACUGAGUCUGGAAGUUGGCUGGAAUUUUCAUAUUCAGCAUCUCUAUCACUUUCUAGACUAUUUAUGUCGACUUACAGCAAAUAACAGCAAACAGCUAUUGCUAUCAUAUCCCAGAUUUAGCUAGCAGAGGGAUGUCGACUGCGGAAGCAGUCUCAAUUCUCUGACAUAAAUUCUGAUAGACCAGAACAGAGGUAGAUAACAUUUCAACUUAAUCCCCGAAGCAGCAGUUCAAAAACCAUAUGGGAAACCAGUUCCAGCCAUCUUGAAACUACUCCAUGGCUGAGGUUAACCGACUUGCAGCACGCUCUAGGCUGAUUUCUUGCCUGCACAAACCUUGCCACAACUCACAUGUACCACUGCUGCGUAGUCCAAGUUUAUCAAUUUGCUUAUGCAAGAUGUCCAAGUUGACAAGGGGAACUGUUGUUGGUCGCCCAUGAGCACACUGCAGAUUAAACCAUGAUUAGCAUUCAUGCAAAAGUCAAGCACACUAAAAUUGAAUUUUGGGCAAUGCAUAUCAUAUUAUAUCUACUACUUUUAACUCACUUGAAAACACAAUGAAGCCUGCUUCAGCUCUUCAACAAUGAGUGAACAUUCUGAAGGCAGUAAUGUGUCACCAAACAUAAUUGCACCUAGAGUUCACAAUUUGACAAAAAAGAUCAGUCCGGAAAAGAUUGCCUGACUAUUUUUUUAAUCCACGCCCAGUAUUCAGUCUAACUGGAACCAAAAGGUCAGGAAGCUAAGAUGCAAUAAACCUAUAAAAGUAAGCACCCAUUGAGGAGCAGCAUUUAGCAACUUUCUGCUCUUCCAACUUCUUUUAUAGUGUUUCACAUUCAUCCAUCCAUCCAUCUAGAGCAGAACUUCAUUAGCAUUUUAAGUCACAAGAUUGUACCUCUGCAUGCCUUGCUGUUAAGGACUCGAUGAACUGAAGGUGGUAUUGUGGAUGAUCCGUCUGUAUCAGCAAGCUAUAUUUUGCAAUGGAAUCAAGUUGAACGAAAUUUUAGUUUUUGAAAGAAAUACAGUUAAACCCCCCCCCCCCUCCUCGUUUGUUGAAUGAAAAGCAAGCGACAAUUGAGAACCAGGUCAAAAUCACUAUCAGGAUAGGGCAAUAAUAACUGAAUUACCUGUUGAAGAAAUUCUAACAGAUCAAUAUCUGUUAACUUAACCCCCAAAAUACAUGGCACCUGCAGAUUAAAAUAAAAUAAUUUUAAAAAAUCAGGUUUCUUAAUGAAAGCCAGUGGAGGAAAUGCUGCUGACUUGCAUGGCAACAAUAGAAGUUUCCAGUAAAUUCAAUUUUUAACACUUAAUGAACUUUAAUGGAAAUCAACAAAAUCAAAGGAUAGGGCAUGUCAGAACUUUACCGCAACGAGUUUAGCAACAGUUGGCUGCCUGCAUAGCACAUUCAAGUUCCUGCCCGAUAAAAAAAGAAAAUUUCUGAGACUGGUGCACAAAGUUCCAUUUUGCAUUCUGGUCAAAAGCUGAACCAGGCAUCAGAAGCCAACAUGAAAUGAAACCAGAAACUGAAAAUGUAGCAGCUUUGAGCUAUCUUAUGAGCAAUGACACAGAUUAGUGCUGCGUAAGUCAUAGAGAUAAACUGCUUGAUAGAAAAAAGAGGAUCAUUACUUUCCAAAGGAGCUUGCGCCUCGACCACUGAUGUUGCAGAUCCAACCCCAAUUUUCAAUUAGACUGACAUAAUUGUGCAGUAACUGAUAACCAAUUUCAGGCAGGACCUGCAGCAUUGUGGUUGGAAACCAUAAUAAUAUGCAAAAAGUGAGAAAUUUUCUGAUUAAAAUCAGCCAAUCAUCCGCAGAGAAAUGAACAUUAAGAAAGAAAGUACCAAUUCUUGCUCAGCUUCUAGAUAGGCAACUUGUUUCAUUUCUCCAUCUAGAACCUAACAUUUACUGAAUCAGUUAGCUGCAGUUCAGAUAGCAAUAGAUGCUGAGCAACUCGAAAACAAUUUUACCUUCUGACGCAGUUCUUCUAAUCGGAUCCUUUCAUCUGCAGCAUGCUGUAGGAAAGCAUCAGUGAGGUCAGGGAAAAAAACAUUUAUUUCAACCAAUCAAAGGAUGCUUUAACUCUCCACAUGCAUCAAUGUCGAAAGGUAUUUGAAUACUGAUUUAAGCAGAACAAGUCACCAGCAUCCAAACGUUGCCUAAGUUCAUGGUUAGGCACCACUUAAACUUUUAAAAAUCGAGAAGCUUAUUGGGUUUAAAAAUUUUCGACAGAUCAACAUCCUUAUCCAUUCUGAAGACCCUUGCAUUCUUUAAUUUAAUAAUAGGUGAAACUCUACCUGAAAACACGCACAAUAAAGAUGAUCACAUAAACUCAACAUUACAUAGACAUCACGUCACAUAAAGCAACAUUAGCAGAUAUCUCAGAGCAAUAUGCAUAACAGGCACUCUGUGCCAUAAAAGCAGUAAACACAGACCUGAUCUAUGAUGGCAAGUAUUCUGCCAGCCACAACUGGAAUGAAUUUCUUAUCAACCUGCGGAAGAACUUUGGCAUCCUUAAGGCAGUUCUUGUCAAUAAAACUAGGAAUCAAUGAAUCCCCAGCAAGGUGCAGGAAGCCAGACGACACGUCAAGUAUGCAGUCAUGAUCUCGAGCUACUUGUGACUUCAUUACAUCCUGCAUGAUAGUAUAACAUUUUCAGGCAAAAAUUCAGAUAGCACUUCGCUAACAAGAUAGAAAAUUGGCAAGUUACUGACCACAGCUUGUGGGGAACUCUUACGCCACUUCAGGCCAGAAUCUAGAUCAUCUCGAGUUUCCUUUGAUGUGGAAUCUAAAAGAAUGAGUAAAUUAUGAUGGGAUUAAGUCAUUAUUAAGGCCCAAAGUUGAUUUUAUAAAUUUAUAUGUUCAAAAGACUCUUGAAAAACUGUUAUUAUGGACUACCCAAAAGGAUUUCAACACUAACAUUUUGCUGGAAACUUCACUAAUGAUACAAUGUCAUGCAGGAAAUGAGUCCCCAAGAAAGAUGGUAACAAACAGGGAAAAUGAAUUAUCACAUGGAAAUACGCAUCCAUCAGCUCCCCAAAAAGAGCUUUGUUAGCUACAAACGAUAAAAGAGUUACCUUCAACGAGCUUAAAAUUGCAGCAGUUGAUGCAUUGACCUUUCUUUUGGAAAUCUUUGCCAUUCAAUCUGACAAGAGGAUAGCAUUGUUGCAAAAGCAGAGAUCCACUAUCAAAAUUAAUAUUCCCAAUGGCACAAAUUUCAUCUAAUAUUCUAUAAGAAAAUUAGGAGAAAAGAUGAAUUACAUACCUGCAAACAGAUGAGCAAUUAUUUGCAUAACUUGCCUUUAAAGGAGAAUGACACUGACCUAAUGAUUGUUGCUGAUGUAGUGAGUUGCUAGUCUCUGCACAACGAACAUGUCAAUUUAUUUUAUCAGUAUCCUAUUCUUUCUGCAGAUGUGCUGAUUUACAUAACACUUGAAUUUACGAUGGCACCUGGAAGAGCAGAGUCAUUAUUCACUGCAGGAGAAUCAGUUCUUCCACCUUCCAUUUUCCAUGAGUAAUUAAGACCAAUAAACUUCCUCCGAGGCCUGUAAAAUGGUGGAGCUGAAUGGCUUCUUCUUGCUCCUUUCUUUUGACCUAUACUUUUUUCCAUUUGAUGUAUGGAUCCUUCCAAAUUUAUUCCUGUCAAACUGAGCAGGUAAUGAAGUCUGAUCUAAUGGAUUUGAAACUUUUGGAAGACUGUUUUUGCCACAAGACUGCAUAAGCAACCAAUCCAUUUCAUCAGGAAAGACACUGGAACAAUUUGCAAAGGUAAAAUCAUUGUGCUUACGUCCUCUAGCUUCACUAACAUCUCCCAGAUGAUCAGAAUAAAACUUGAACGAGGAUAAGUCUGUGCAGUUCUCUAGUUCCCAACUAUUUACAGAAGGAUCACGGUUAAAGUGGCCGUAAUCCCCUUCUUGAUCUGGAAUAUAGCCAGAUGUAGUACCCUUACUAUAGUCACAACAUACAUCUUGACCGAUGAGAUGAUCAACAUCUGGAAUCUCAGUACCAAACAAGGAUGGUAGCACCCGUGGAGACCAUUCAGAAGUAGAUGACAGCUUAUCUCCAUCAGAUUGUUUAAUGUGUUUAAGUGAACCGGACGGAAGGUUGUUCUCUUCACCUGAACACUCUCCGGCAAUCAUGGAUGACCUCAAAUCUUGCGAUGAACUGUUAGCAUUGGUUAUUUUAUCAGGUUGAUUGGUGCACCUGGAAAGGGACCACAAAGAUUUUACUCUUUCGUUCCUUGACAAACUUUCUAUGAAGAUCUGGUCAGUGUCAUAUUCUUUUCCACCAUCAGACCCCUCAUCAAAGUUGAUCCACUUAUGCUGAGUUCUAAAGUCAUAACUUCCAAACCCAGUUUCCACUUUGGUCAGAUGGGAUGAGCCCACAUCUUGCAGGCCUCUUCCUGUCAAGCAACUGAGCUGGGAUGGUCUUCUGAACAGCUGGUUGACAAAUGCAUCCUCACCGUAUUCUUCAGAAUGAGUAUAAAAGGGACUCCUUAUUGACAUGUUCAUCUCGUCAUCCAUUUCAAAGGAUUCAUCUUGCCAUUGUGAAUCAAAAAAGUAGUUUAAUUUCUUUUUGCCGGUCCCUUUAGUGGACUCCUCUUUCACCAAAAUAUCAUCUCCAUCAGAAAAAUAAUCAGCAGAUGACUGCAUGUGAUUGCGAAUCUUUUUAUUGGUUGUCACUCCGCAAUGAAACGGAGAAGCAUUAAAUGACUGAAUGUCACAGUCCUCAAAUAAGGCAUCUGUUUUGUGCUUUUGUAAUUCAGAAGCAUCUCCAUCAGACUUCUGACGUGAUGAUAAACCCUCUUCCCAGGCAGGCAAAUUCUUACAUUCUCUCAUUAGUUUCUGUGACUGUGAACAGUGAACUUCAGGUGAAGCCAGCCAAUCUUUGGUCCUGCACCUCUUUCUUCCAGUUUGAUCUUUUAGCAGCAGAUCUUAAAAAGAAAAGGCCCCAUCAAUAUCCCAUGACAAAAGAACCAACAAGCAUAUGGUUUCUUGAAGGCACAAGCAAGACUGAGGCAAGUACUAAAUUCGCAGAAACUUCUCCAACAAAACUAGCUUAAGAAAAUCAGUUAUCCAAUAGUGGUUAGAAAAUAUUCUAGUUUAUCUAGUUUGACAGAAACACAGAAUUCCUUGCACAAAAAGAUUUCUUUGUUCCUACCUCCCACAAUCCAUUUUUUACCUGGCAGAUCACACUUGGAAUAACGAUUCUCUUCAUAGCAUAUACUAUACCCCUUAAAGUUUCUAUGCCCCCCAAAGCUUCAACAUACAAAUUAGACAAAUGAAAUCAGCAUUUACCAUUAGAGAUACUUUCACUCCAAUAAUGGGUGAUUGUAUUCUGAAUGAAUACAAGCACAGGACCCCAUUCCUGCAAGGGAAAUGAAAGAGGAGAAUAAAUUGCCAAAACGAAACCAGAGGACUUUUCCUAAUAGAAAAGAUGAUUCAGAAAUUAGCCAUACAAAGUCCACACAAACAAUACAUACGCAAUAUGAGAUUAGAAUAUUACUUUCAACUUUGUGUUUUAGUCAAUUGAAUCACCCACAAAAGCAAGUCACAUAAUAACAAUUGAAGAGAAAAUGGACUAUAUUAAUUGCAACACUGCUUAGCAAAUCAACCAAUGCAUCUCAUUGCAUGAAUAUGAACAAGUCAUUACUUUUCUAAACAUGAUAAAUGGUGCUGCACAUGUUAAAGUUAACUACAGUAUUUCAACAGGCCUAUGGUGGUAGAGUAAAGUAGGCUCUAGCAGCAUUGAGGUUCCACAAUGCCCUGCUGGCAAAAGAUUCUCAUAAAUAAGAACAAGAAACGUGUGAACUCAAGUCUGCACGUUUAGCACACAUAACACCAAUUGUGUCCCAGACACACCUGAUGCAUUAAGUGGAUUUCUGGUAUAUAAAUGUCAAUACCAAAGAAAUGAGAAGAAAAAUGAACAUAUUUGUGCAUAUAUUACAUUGAGACAGUGAAAUUCACAAAUAAACAAUUACAUGCUUCUUUAUGUUUAUCCGUCUGUACAUGUUGAAUGUCUUGAAGCCUUUAAACAACUUAUAUAAUAAAAUAGCACAAGAAAUCAUAGUCAUUAAGACAUUUAAUAUCAGAAUUCGUAAAGCAUCAAAUGAAAUUCUUACUGUAAAUUCAACAGAGUUCUUUAGUGGUUCAAAAGUCAUGUCAUAGUAAGAUCUUGGGCAAGAGAGGUUCAAAAUGAAUGUUGGACAUGUCUGAGAUCUACUUUGCUUCUCAUUUUUAGCCCCAAUGUUAAAUCUCUGAUCAUCCCAAUAGCCAGAAGCCAAAUGAUUCAGCAAUUUAUGUAUCGGUCCCUUGCAGAUAAACCUUGAAUUGAUGUCUGCAUCAGUUGAUGUUAAAGAAAAUGGAUGCACAAAAUGGUCGAUCCUCCCCAAUCCAACCAUUUGCCCAAAGCAUCAGCUUAUAUACAUUAUCGGUAGGCAACAACAAGAGGGAUACAGAUAUACUGAAAAGCCUGUAAAUUCCAGUAGUGAUGAAUUAGAAAAUCUGACUACAAACUAUAAAGCUAUACAAUUUCAUAGCUCAUAAAAGUCAGCAGUCUUAAAUUUGGUACCUUUGGAGACAAAAUUCCGAAUGGACUAGACAGGUAUCCAAAAAGCUUGAAUUCUCUUUCAACAGCUUUGAUUUCAUAUAGAGAACAGGCAGCUUCAAUGCCAAAAUUAGUGGAUAAUAGUGGCAAAGGAGAAGGAGAAGAAGAUGUACUGAGCAGUUCUUCCUCACUGCGGUGCAUGAAUGGAUUGUAAAUGUGUACUAAGACUAGCUAUAAGUUGUUUUGUUAAAUUAAAAGAACAAACCUCUCGAUAUCAGAAACUCUGAAAGAAACCCUGGGGUGCACCAGUGCAAUUCGUAGCACACAUUUCUUGACCAAAUGUAAGACCUUCUUGGGGCUUCCAAGGCAGACCAUAAGUUACAAGUAGCUCAGAUCAGUAUUUGUAAAUAUCUAUAAAGUAGACUUUUUUGUACAUCCAGAAACUUUCACCAGUCAUCUAAAACAUUAAUGGCCAAGUCAAGCAGGUACCUGGAUUGCAUGAGCUUCCUCCGAACUGGUUGGUUAUAAAACAAAUCACGAACAACAACUGCAAAUACCAGGAAGGUAGGGCAAUCUCUCAAUCUCAAUAAACAUAAUAAAUGGAAAAUAUUACAGAUGCUAAUUGCUAGUCACUUCAGUCAAAUCAAAAGCUUGACUUUGAUGUUUAAUCUGCAAACUUUUUGCUUCCAAAAAUCACGUAACAACUAGUGCAGACAAUUUCAAAAUACCAAUCAUAAUUUACAACAAUAAGUGCUAAAGUGAAUUGGCUUUCACCGCCGCCCUCCAUCGAGCAUUGAAGCUUGUUGGUUGACAUGUUAGCUGCAAGGUGUAUGCUUGCCUGUAUUUCAUUGUUUUGCCCCUUUUCUCAAUCUAGCAAUUCAUUUCAUAUCACAAAAUGAUGCCGAAUUGUUUAACUGAUUUGAAGAUUGACAUAACCUCCGUGAAAAUAUGCAGUCUCUUUUUAAUUUUUCCGAUUUCAAGAUACGAGUGGAUAACAACAUGUAUUUCAUUGUUUUGUCCCUUUUCCCAGUCCAGCAAUUCAGUUCAUAAACUUGAUAGAUAUUGAAACACCCAAGUGAUCUUGAAGAUUGUUGACAACAACACCUUUAUAAUGUGCAUUCUCUUCUUAAAACUUCUCCUCCUCAAUAUGGGAGUAGAAAGGUGCAAGAAGAUCACAAAAAAUAUCUUUCACAGGGCAAUGUGUCUUCUGACUUCUGAGACAAUGGUAAUUAAUAGUAAGAACUCGUUACCUGUUGUACCCGCAUCAUGUCUAUCAUCACUGAUUCCAAGGUAUAAACACUUGCAGUCCUACAAAAAUAUAACAAGAACAGCAAUGGUUCAUCCGGAAACAGGCUGAAGGAUAUUGAAUACGAAACUGAAACAAGACUGCAAACUCAUUAUACCUUCAUAACCUUCCGAUAUCCAUGAGGCCUCCCAUGAGCUUUGGUAAUUAUUUCAAGCAAAGAAACAUCGGAAAUAGAGCACAGUGCUUCUCCACGAAAGCCGAAGUUUUGAUUAGCGGUGUCCAAAUCAGCCAAUUGAUGAUGCUUUGAUGUUGCUGUCUUAGCCAAAAAAGGACACAAUGAAGUACACAACAAGAAGACAGGUCCCAAAGAAAGCUUUUCUAAAAGGGUCUAAUUGUAUUGCUUCAACUAUAUUCCAGAAGUCUUUAAAUGGAAUGCUUACCCACCUUAUCUUUAGGACCAGAAUAGAGUGCCAUGUCAAUCAUGACUUUCUUAUUCUUGAUAUUAGCUCUUCAAAAAUUACAUCAUAGGCCAGCUUAGAAUGUUGUAUUCAAGUAAAGAAAAUAGCCAACACUCACCAAGACACAGGUAAAAUGUUUUCAAAACAAAAAGGUUUUCUACUUAAAAACUAUUACCAUGUCUUUCUCCCAAAAGCACUAAUCCAUCUCGAUCAACACCAGAUCCUAUAAAAUCAUGGAAUGAAUGAAUGAAUAAUUAGAACAGGUGGAUAGAUGAACUCCAGCAUCCAAAUAGUAGCUAAAUAUAGUUCACAGUAGCAAAUAUUUGUUGUUCAGAUAAUCAUGCUACUAACCAUUGUCCAUUACUUUGACAGAACAUGUCCCGACACCUACUGAAACAGAUACCUAAUGAAAGAACAAAAUUUCCAGAGUUAGUUUUUGGAAGAAUCAAGAACUGGGAUGAAAUGGCAGCUAUGACAAAGCAAUCAAGACAUCAAAGUUGCUGCAACUUGGCAAAAGAAAAUUUGGUAUCUUGAGAAGCUUCAGAAUUAUACAGGUAAACACAAACCAUAAUUGAGAUUGGUGGAACCAUAGUGUUUCCAGGGUUUGAAAGUUGCUUAUAAGCCGUUUAUAUCAUUUUCUCAUAGCAUCAUUAAAAUUCCCCCCCCCCCACCCCACGCCAAAAACUACUCAUACCUACAAUAUUAAAGGGGAAAAAAAGAAACAAACAAACAAAAACACUCGCAAUCGGCACCUUCUUUUUCAGCAUUCUGAUUUCCAACCUACCAUUUAGUUGCAAAAAAUUCCACGUCUUCCGGAUUACACAUCACAGCUCAUUAUUCAACAAAUAAACGAUAUUACGAAAAAAAAAAAACCAAAGUAAUUCAUUCCAAUCUGAAAUAAUAAUCCCCAAUCCUCCCCUAAUCCUAAUUGCAGAUAAAUCGAAAAUUUACCAUAAGAUUGUUCAAUAAUAGAAGUUACCUUGGUCGCGCCAGCAUCGAGACUGUUAAAAACCAGCUCUUCCACAACUCUAGUCAAGUCACACACAAUAAUCCCUGACCGCACCGAAUUCCGAACCGCCUCCGGCAAGGGCUUAAUUUUUCCCAUCUCUUCAUUCGCUUACAUAAACCCUAAACCCUAAUUCUGCAUUUCCCAAGGAGAACGGAAACCAAAAAAAAAUGGCGGGAAAAAUCGAUUUAGGGUUUUGACUUCAGAAUAUUAAACCUUUGAUGAUUAACUGAAAAAGAAGCUGCUUUACUCUAAAUUGCGCCCGUGGGGUGGAGGUUAAACAGCUCUAAUUCUCUGUUCGAUUAUUUGAACGAGAAAAUGGCGGCAGGAGAGAAAUGUGUCGCCCGAGGUUCUCACUUCUAAGUUGCGCGCGCAGUUACAGAUGAGUAUUUAUAGCUUGGUUGUUCAAGGUGGGCCCCGUUUGGUCUCAAGGUGAUGAAUGAUAACGUCACUUGAUCAAGAUUAGGUAGCAUUAUACGUGGAAUUUCGAUACAAUAAGCGAGUGCUUUGUAAGAAGUCCGUUUGGGUAAUUUGAUUGGUUGAGGUGAAGUAGAUACGUGCCCUGCGGGUAACUUAUUAAUUGUGUCAUUACAUUUUUGCUUUGGAAACUUUUAUGAAAGGCUAUCCCGUGGCGUAAUUUUGCUGUUAGGAGUGGAAGUUACAAAAAUGGCCCCACAUUUCUCACUAAUUUGAUAAAAAUAGGUUAUGUUUAACAACGACCUACAUUAAAUAAGAAUAUUUUAAAAAAAUUAUAAAUUAUCUAAAUUUCAAUUGAAAAAUAUAGUAUAAUUUGAAAUAGAUAAAAAUAAAUGAAUAUAUCAAAUAACGGAGGAACAGUAUAUUAUACUUUUAAUGCAUAGAACAAGCAAAUGUCGCCAGAAAACGAAUCAUGUACUAACUAUUGAAUAGAAUAACCAAAAUCCCUGUCAAUGGUCAAACAAUAACAUGUCUAUGUUUGGAUCCUUCAGUUUUUCAAAUAUCUUUAAAAGUUUUAAAACUUUUAAACUUUUAAACAGCUAAUCCAAAGUUUUAAAAGGUACUCUAAAAAGUAGUUUAAAUUUUUUUUAAUGUUUAAAAAAUAUUCCAAAAUAUAUUUUAAAAACUCUACUACUCUUAAAUAUUCUAAUAUAUUUUCUAAAAAUAUCCAAAAAUAUACUCUAUGUUAUAGUAAAAUUUUUCAAAAACAACUAAUCUAUCAUGUUUCUCCUUUUACUGAUUAAUUCAAGCUUUUAGAGCAUCUUUUAAAAGCAUGAAGACAUACAUGCAAAUGCAUGCGUGAUUGGAGGUGUCGACAUCCGAAUUGACAUGUAACUAGGACUGCAAACGAGUCAAGUCGAGUUGAAUUUUAAGCUAAUCGAGCCAAGUCUCGACUACAUUUUACCAAACUCGAACUCGAGUUUGAGCUCGAUGAGCCGGCAAUUUAAAGCUCGAAAAAAAUAAAAAUAAUUAUUUUAUUUUUUAAAAAAAUAAAAUAAUAUUUUUUUAAUAAAUAAUAAAAUAUUAAGGAUAUAUAUGUAAUUUUACUAUUAAAACAAUAAAAUAAAAAAAUAUAUAUAUACUUAAAAUAAAAUAUAUAUAUACUUAAAAUAAAAUAUAUAUAUACUUAAAAUAAAAAAUAUUAUUUAUAUAUAUAUAUACUCGAGACGAGCUUAAUAUUUUGAGCUCGAUUUUGACUUGAACCAGCUCGAACUCGAGCCGCUCGCGAGCUCGAUUCAUUUGCAGCCCUACUUGAUGUAAUUGGAUUUUCCCGAUCAUAUCUACAGGACAAAAGUUAUUCGUGCUCUUUGGGAGGUUAGCAAUUAGACAUUGUUUAAGUAACUAAAUGUUUAAACUGCUUACAGUAAGAUCUCUAUAAAUUAAUAAUUUUGUGACCAUAUAAAUUUUAUUAAUUUAUUGUGCAUACUUAUAGUACAAAUAAGUAGUCAUUUAAUCAACUAAAGCUUUAUUUUAUUUUAUAAAAAAAAUAUGCAUUGUUGUAUUAACAAAAGGAGGAUAAAUUUUAUGAAAUAUAAACCAAUCCACAUCUGCUUGAUGUGCAAAUAUAAUUUAAUUCUAUUAAUGUCUUCAAUAAAUGUAACUAAUAGGCUAAGGAAUAGUUUUUCUAUUAUCAAGAGGCCAAAAAAAUUAGGAAUACUAAAUUUUAGAUAUCUACUUCUAUUUUAUUAAAUGCAUACAAUGAAUUAGAUUAAUAAUAUAUUAUGUGUAUAAAUGAUAAGGAAGUCUUCUUAUAAUAAACAAAUACAAAGUAUUAUUACAUAUCUCGUUAUUAAACUAUAGGAGGCUCUAUCUAAAAGGCUUUCAUAAAUCAACAAUAAGACUUAUAUUUUAGGAAAAUAUGAUUUGUAAUUCUAGUAAAUUAUUAAUUUAUAGUAUGAAUGGGACUAAACAAUUAUGUAAGGUUUUCAAAAAAAUCUAUUAUCUUAUUAUUUUAUCAAAAUUAUUAAUUUAACUCAUUAGCUUAAGUUGGACUCAGGAAAAAUAUUAUUUAAAAAAUAAUUAAUUUAUUGAGUAUUAAUUUAUAGAUAUUUUACUGUUUAUGAAAAAUUCUUAAUACCACAGUGAAUAUGAGAAUUGCUUAAUUUCACGAUGAAUUAUUACUUCAUAUUUCCACUUUAUAAGAGGAAAUUUACCAAUUGUGUUAUAAAAGAGAACUAGAUAAUUAUGAUAUCAACUAUGUCAAACAUAUCGUGUUUUGCAAGCGUUACAGGAAAUUAUCUAUUUUUCAUUAUUGCAAGGUGACAAAAAAGAUAUUUGUCUAUAUGCAUAUAUUUUCUCAAUCUCGAUCAGCCUCUGACAAACAUGUUUAAAUGGAAAGAGUGUUCUGUACAAAGUAGAUUUAAAUAUAUGCGAUUUUUCAACGACUUCAAAAAGAAGGAAAAUAAAAUAUGAAAAGAUUAUUCUUGAUCAAAUUUUAUGUUUGUCAAUUUGUCUGAUAGGGGAAAAACAAAUAGUUGUCAUUUUAUCUUCUACACCAUAUAUAAAAGGAGAGAGAGUUUUCUGGUGUAAAUAAAAAAUUGUUAUCUCAUGAUCUUCUUAAAUAUUCUUAAAUUAUCUUUUAAGUACAACUAUCCUCUAACAUAUCUACUCCUGCUUAGGGGUGCAGUUAAAUCCAAUAACUUUACUCAAGCUCACAAGUAACUCGAUCAACUGUUUGUUAAAGUUCGGUCAAUGCUGAGUUCGAAUUGAGCUUGAACUACUCGAUUGAAGUUUCGAGUCAAACUCGAAUAUGUAUAUCAUAUAUUCAAGAACUCGUCGAACUAUAUCAAGUACUCGGUGUAAUAUUUAAUUAAUAUAUUAUAAAUAAUUAAAUUACCUUUUUAAUUUGCUUAUUUGAAAUAUUUACGAUCCUAACCAUUUGUCAAGUUUGAGUACUUGAGUUUGAGCUCCCCAACUUCUCGAACCCUAUUGAGUCGGGUUCGAGUGUUUCCAGUAUAACGUUGAGUCGAGCUCAAGCUUUGUUCACAUAACUCGCUCGAGUACUGCUACUAGACAUUGAGUCCAAACUGGAGUAUGGCAAAUAAUAGCAUAUUUAUAUAUUUUAUUUAUGUAAAUGUCAAUUGUCUGCAUGUAUUAUAAAAUUAUAAAACCAAAUCUCAUAAAAAUAAUUUUGACAAAUAUAUUUAAAACAUUUUAAAAUAUUUAUUUAUUAUUGUACACGCAUUGAGUAUGUCUUAAGCACUAAUUAUUAUCAUACAUAUACUAUAUAUAAAGGGUGAGGUGGGAGUUUGGAACAUAAGUUUUUUUGCCACUUUUUAUAUUUCCAACUCUAUUCUCGUGAAAGUCAUUCAUAAACUUUUAUUUGGGGGUGAAUAAUUAUUAUCACUUUAUAAAUUUUCAUUCUUACCCUUAUGAAAACUGUUAUUACUUUAAUUACCUACAUAUGUUGUCAAGAUAACCACCCAUGACCAUUUUACUUUUAGCUAUUUAAGCAUAUAUUUUCAACAUAACUAUCUCUAAGGAUUAUAACUUCUAAUAUAGAAUUAUUUUAUGAAAUAAUUUUUUUGGUCAAACUUAUGAAAUAAAUUUAAAAGAUCAAACUUUGUUCCAGCAAUAAAAUUUUGCGAGUGUGCAUAUAGCACUAGUUAUUAUUACGGCGUGGAAUUGAAGCUUUUAUGAAAUAGAAGGAAAUUAGGUAAAACAACUAUUGAGGGGAAAAAUGGCAUUGAUGGAAUUUAGCUUAAAAAACAAGGCUGAUGCAUGAGGCAAUAUGCUUAAAAUUUUUACGGAAAUUGCGUUGUGGUUUUCUAGAAUGAGAGCCAAUAGAAUUCUUUUCUGACAUAGUAUGAUCUUCAAAAAUUUAUUUCUUUCUCUCUCCUCUCAUUCUAACUGGUUUUUAACACAGACCAUUUUUCUUCAUCUCUCUCUCUCUAAAAACCCUAAUUCAACACUUUCUCUCCUCUCUUUCAAACAUGACAAGAUCAGGUAUUUCCGUCUUCAUUGUAUUUCCAUUGCAAUUAAUUUUUGCUUAUAUUUUGUCACAUGUAUGAUUGAAUUGUGUACAAGCACUUCUAAGCUUAUUGAGAUUUGUAUAAUUCUGUUGAAUCAAGUUGUUGAUUGUCUGAAUUGUGGUUGUUAUUGGUGUAAUUAAUCGCUAGUUGUGUUAAAGAUUGGAUUUUGGUUGUUAAAUCACGGGUUUGAAUGAAUUUUGGAUUUUGGAGGUUCUAAUUGUUGUUUGCUAAUUGGUUGCAUUGGAUUGUUUUGUGGAUGCUGACUUUAUGAUUUGAUGCGGUGUGGGGAUUGCUUAGAUGACGAAAUUUCGGUGAUUCAUGGAAAAUCUGAUGUGGGUUUUGGAUUUUAGUGAUGAAUAUGAAUUUUUUGUUUAGUGGAAAUUUGAAUUUUGUGCUAAAUAGGUGCUUUUGAUUUUUGUGGUUUGUAGAGUGAAUGCUGUUUGAGCGAUCAGUUGUUGCUGCGUAGAUGUAGAGAGAAAUGGAAGCUAAUACUUGUGAUAUAAAUCACUUGGAUGCUGAUGUGCUUUUACCGCCUCGAAAGCGGCUUCUUGCUGGGCUGAAAAGACAGAAUUCUGAUGUGAAUCCGCAAACUCCUACCAGUGCUUCUAAUGGUGGGAGCGAAUUUGAUUCCCGCGUUAAUAAUUUAAUGAAAUCUCAUUUGAGUAACCCUAACUUAUCAAAUGAGGAGAUUGUGGAGGCGUCUAGAUUGGCUGCCGUAGAAGCAGCCAAGGCAGCACAGGCUGCUAGGGCCACAGCUGAAGAGAAAGCUGCAAAAGCAGCUAAGGCAGUGGCUGCUGCAAAGAGUGCCCUAGAAUUGGUUGCUACUGUCUCUGAGGAGAUUGAUAAUGGAGAAAAAUACUUGAAGAAGAACAAGAUGAAGAAGCAUGUACAAGUCCAAACUUUGUAUAAUAAGCCGAGAGGGUCUCAAGGAUGGAAAACAGAUGAAGAAUUAGCUCGAAAGUUGCAUCGGGCCAUCAACAGUUCCCCGAGAAUAUUGAAGAACACUUCUACUUCUGACUCCAAAAGUCACAAACAUAAGAAACUUAAAAGGUCAUCUUCUUUUGAGAAGACAGCAGUUAGCAAUGGUGGUACUGUUUUGCAUGUAAACCAGGCUUUGGCUAGCAAUGGUAAUGGUAUAGCUGGUGGGAUGGAUCAUGAUGGUUCUGUCCAGGAUGGUUACAGGGCAAAAGUAGAUUUAAACAUACCAAAUUUCAAUAAAGCUGAUGGACAGAAGAUGGAAAGUAGGGAAAUGUUGAAACAUAGUAAACCUGACUUACUAAUCAUGGAAAAUGGGGAACCAGAUGCAGUUCAAUCGAGUAUGAAAGUUGGGGUUGAUGAUGAUUCUGGCCUUGGUAAAAGGAAGGGGAAGAUUAAGCAGAAAAAGUUGCCUUUGAGCAUUUGUAGUAUUAGGGAUCUAGAGAACCCUAAGGAGGAUCUGAAAUCUAAGAGCUCGUCUACAACUGACAACAAUAGGGCCAAAGUUAUUGGCAAUAGUAAGUCCAUCUUUUCUGUAGGGCCUUCUAGUGAGGGUGUCAUGCCAGUUGAGAGAACAUCGAUGUGGAAGUGUCAGGCAUUCAAGGCUCCUGCUUGUGUCAAACAAAAUAAAGUGAUGCAGUCUUAGUGUUCAUAUCUGAAUUUCAGCAAUUGGCGGCUGCUAUUGUAGGAGUUGUGAGCUGUGGUAGUUUUUUAAAUUUAUGCGUUUCAUAUAGAUUUGAUCCCCCCUCUCCCUCACCCUGUUGGUUUUUUGCUUGUCAAUGGCGUUGUAAGACUUGAAGUUACUUAUGUGUAUAUUGAAGUUUUUUCAAAUUGCUUGCUUAUACAUUUUGUACCAACAUCAUUGUUUGGUUUUGCCCCAAAGCUUGAGGUCAAGGCAUACAUAAAAUUUGAAAUGUUCUUGAUUGUUUGAUGGUCGUAUCUGCCGGAGAUGAUGUCAGCUUGUGUAAAGUAUUGCCGCAUCAGAUGGUUGAAAUUAUCAUCAUUGGUCAAGUGCAAUAGGGGAAAUGUCUAGAUUUGUGGCCGUAGCCUCCAUCCUUGAUCACAGGGCUAUUUGUUAAAUCAGUUCAAGUUCUUAGUGAGUGGAACUUUUUGGACCUGUUUUAGGUGGUCUGUACUGUGGCAUUUUUGUAUGGAUUGUAGUUUUUUGUUCUAGUGUUUGUUCUCGAGUUGUUUCGAGUUUAUGCUACUAUAACACACAAGCAUGGCAGAUGGCAGAUAAGUAAUAAAGGAUAUAACAUGUGCGAGUCUUGAAUGAUGAUAGCAGUUCUGACAUUGGGGAUAGCGGUUUGUGGCGGAUUUCACCUGGCUGUUUAUGGAUGCCCACACAGCAUUGCUAUUUGGGUGGUCUUCUCGUGGUUUGAAGCAUAACUGCCCAAAUGUCCUGUUGGAAAGCCCCUUAAUGAUGAUCUUCCUGCAGACGUAGGGAGAUGAAAUGUUGAACAGACAUGGGGGAGAGGUGUUGCUAUCCGUUGCUUAUGUUCUGAACCCGAACUCAAUCUGCUUUGCUUUGACAGGCAAUAGAAAUUUGUCUCAUUGGCUUCAAUUCUUCCACUUUUAGCAUCUUCUCGAUCAGUUUGCAACAUUAGGUACUUUGAAGUCGUGUUUCUAGAAUUCAACCUCUGUUGAAAUUAUCACUCUUUAAUGGUGCUAAAGUCAAAACGAAGGAAGAUGGUGUUGGGACCUUGGGUAUUAACAGUACUGUCAUUGUGCAUGUGCGCUUUGUUUUUAAGGCAAAUUGAAGGAGUGUAAUUAGGCCUAUCCCCGAUUUUUUUUUUUUUUUUUUUAAUACUCUGAUAAUUAUGGAAACAUUGGUUUUAUUUCUAAAAACAUAAGAAAUAACAUCCAAUUGUUGUUUGGUGUGCCAUCACAGCCACCUCUAUCAAGUUGGUCAACCAUGAAGUUGAGUGUUGUUGAUUAGGUCAUUGAUAAAAUCUUUAAAACUAUAGGUAUUGCUAUUAUCUUAUAAAUUUGAAACUCAUAACAUCUUUUUAGUCUUUUGGUAGCUAGUUGCCGUCCACUUGAAAACAUGAAAUGUUAUGCAGAACUCUGAAAUUUUUCAAAAAUUCACUUAUGGAAAACGUCAUUCCAACUUAAACAUUAUUGACUUGCUUCUUUAAUAUCUUUAUUUUUUUCAACCAAAAAAGUUCCUAAAUGCAAACAAAUUCUAAUUUUUAAAGAAUGAUUAAAGUUGGAUAAUCUAUGCUUUACCGUUCAAUGUUUUAACUCGGAAUAUUCUCUAGUUAGCCUGCUGUGAGGUUUAUCUCAAUUCUCCAAUCACAUUUGUUUAGAGAAAAAAUAACGGAGAAAACAAAGAUGGAGAAAAAAAGGAACGAAUUUAAAGACUGCCGCUUCCUUAUUCACUUCCUUUUUUAGGUUCUUAUUUGUAAGGAAAAAAGAUUAUUUUGGUCCCUCGUUUUUGGAAUCUUGGCCACUUUAAUUCUUUAUCUAUUACCAUGAUUAUUUUAGUCCCUUAUCAGUAGCCAAAAAAAAAAAACUCAAUCUAAGACUUCUAAUGAAAAUUUUAAAAACUCUAACGGAGUUAGUCACGUGCACAAUAUGUGCACCGUUGAAAAUGACCAUGUUGAUUCAUUAUCUUCAGAAUCGUGUCCAAUUUUACCUCUAUGUAUGCCGCCACAUUCCAAUUAGGUGUGUGCGUGUGCGUGUGCUUUUUUUUUUUUUUUUUUUUUUUUGUUUUGAAGAUAAACUUAUAAUGUGCGGAACCAACUCUAUUCAGGUCUUUUGAUUUCCUAUUAAAAGUUUAUAGUGACUUUAUUUUAUGAAAAUGACGGUUCAAGUGGUCGAAAGGAUAAAAUUCGAAAACACCUUAAAGAUAACAGACCAAAACAGUUAAUUUUAACAUUGCACAUUUCGAAAACACCUUAAAGAUAACAGACCAAAACAGUUAAUUUUAACAUUGCACAUGCCCUAAACGUGACUAACUCCGUUAGAAUCUUUCAAUUUUCUAUUAGAGGUCCUGAAUUAUUAUAAUUAGUAGAGGUCCUAGAUUAUUAUUAUUUUUUUUAUAAAGAUAAGGGAUUAAAAUAGUCGUGGUUAUAGAUAAUAGGCUAAACUACCAAAAUCCUGAAGGCAUGGAACUAAAAUGGUCGUUUUCCCUAUUUAUAAUCUUGAAUCCUGUUUAUAUUUAGAGAGAGAGAGUGCAUGAACAAAAAGAGUUACUCAUAAAUCGGUAAGUCGUUGCUUGAAAAAAUAUGCUACUAGUAGGUGUAUUAAAUUUAAUAAAAAUGCUCAGUGUAUUCAAAUAUUUCACAAAAAGCAAACCUCAAAAAGAACAUCAAAGCAUUUUCGGAAAAGAAUUGUAUAGAUUUUCAAACGAUAUUAACCCUUUGCAUGAAAAAAAACAGAAGUUGUACAAUGAUUCAAAUUAAUUAAUUGGUAACAAUUUUUAUUUUGAGUUCAAUAUGCAAAACUUUACCUAAGAAGUUUGUCUGUUUACUUCAUUUUGACUACAUUCAUACCUCUUGUAGAACAUUUUUACAUGAAAUGCAUGUAUAACAAGUAGAAAAGUAUAUAGUGAGCACGAAAUUAGGAUAGAAAAUUUGUGAAAAACUGUUAAACAUGAUUUACUGUACAGGUGUAGUCUUCACUCUUCAGAUUAUUGUGAUAUAUCAUUCUAACAAGGAUAUUUUAUUUUUCCUCUCAAUUUUUGACGCUAAAUUUAAUUGUUACCAUCUCUCCACAAAAGUAUUUUAAAAUAUUCAUUAAAAAUAAAUAAAUAAAUCUUAUAUACACUAACACUAUAUAUGCGAUCAUCAUUGGAUUCAAGACAUGUGUGCAAAAGUUGGAAUUUAAUUUCAAAUUUUACAUAAUUGUCAUUCAGUAAAAACUGACAGUAUGUACACUAUUAUUGUAAUAAAAAUUAAUCUAAUUUAAGCACUCACAUACAACUUGUUGCAAAUUAUAGUUGACAAUUUUCGUAAUUCGUCUUUGAGAGUCCUAUUUACAUUAUAAUUUCAGCACAGUGCAGUUUGGACGCUCAACGACAAGAAAAUGUCCUGGUAAAUUCCGCAAAAUGUUCGAGGAAUACAGGUAAUGUAUCAGGAGUUGGGAAAUCAUCCAAUUUUGCAAAAGUUGAGGAUAAGAUAGCUUGUCAAUAAGUGUGGUUACUAAAAGAAGAACAUCCUGAGUGGGUUGCCAAACAAGAAAAGAAGACUCGUGACAGUUGUAUCUGUGAUCCCAGAAGGGAUUCCGAAGUCCAAGCUGUGCAAUGCGCGAACUGGGCUUUCGUUGUCAACACUUUCCGUAGCAGAAAUGCAAUUUGCAAGAAAUCACUUGCGCCCGUGCAUUUCCAAACAAUAUUUCGGGGCAUCUCAUUUUCUUGAGAAAACUACACAAGAUUAUCCUGUUCCAAUCUCAAGUAUGAUAGUGAAACUACAACCGGGCUAGAAAAGGAAAAGCUCUCUUCCAGGUCACGAGCAAACCAGAGGAUAGCGUAAACGACACUUCAUUCACCUGGCCUACGAUUUCGACGCAUCUAAUUGGCUUUUAUCCGAUAUUGCUAAUAUUUCCUCUUUUACUUCUAACCGUAUACUGCUGAGUUUCAAAAACAUUAUUAGACAUUACUUACACAGAACAAAUGCAAGAAUACAUUAUGUCAAGUAGGUAAUCAAGGUCAAUUUGCAAAAUUUCAGUUACAGUUUCAAAUUCCCAAAGAUACAGCACUUGUACAAAUUAUGAAUUAGUUGAAAUUUAGCAGCCGGACCACCCCAAAGCGAGUCAAUAAUGUCUUUCCAUAACUGAGAUAUCUAAGCAUCCAUAAAAAACACAAAGUUGAUCGUGAAGGCAAAGCAAGCAGCUGCGAUCCCAUUAUAGGACACCACAGGCCAAUUGUUCAACUGCCGGAGGACCACUUCAGUAACGCAACAGCGGAAGAAGCUUACACUUCCCAUCUCAACAUUCCACUUCUUCCAGUUGCCAGCUCAGGUUCCUCAUCAGGCAAUCAUUGUCUUCCACUAGCCAGUUCCUCCAAUAUAUUUGAGAUACAAGGCAAGAACUCAACGUCAAAAUCAAAGAAUACUUGCACAGCCACAUAAUCUGUCACUGAGUGUAGUCAUAUGAUGAUAUCGAGUCGUUGUUCAGCUUCCUGUUCUCAAGAAGGGGAGAGUUUCUGUAAGCCACAAUUAAGGCUGCCUUGCAAGUAAAAACGUUAAAGGCUAACCAAAUUUGUGGACAGAGGUGACAACCAUCUGGAAUGCCUUUUCGCUACAUAAAUCAGCAUCCAGGUCAAUCUUCAUGCAUAUCAUUUCCUUGUGGAAAUUCUUAACUAUAUUACAUCUUAGGCAACAAAAAGAUCAGGUACUAUUACGACUUCAAAAAAACCCAAAAAUAAACCAUAUGGAAUAGUUAUACUGGUAGACACGGAUGUAAAGAGGUACUGCAACCACCAAACCAAUCCACCUACUUCACUUACCCACCUUAAUCUGUAGGUUUCUCAUCCCCACACUCACCUUGUCAAUGGUAGGCUCACUUUUCACCUCAUUUUUUGUCAGAUUUUCCAUAUUUAGCCAUGGGUGUUGUAGACACUGCUGAGCAGUUGGUCUCUUCUCUGGUUCAAAAUCAAAAAGAGGACAAAGGAACUCUGCAAACUUUUUAGCAUCUGUCUCAGAAAAUUUGUACUUAUCAACAAGUAAUCGAUCAAGUGGCCAGUAUUUUAGCCUUCGGAUUCUCUUUAAAUCUCCAUAUCUAUCAAAGUAAUCCUUGGACCGAGCCCCACCAGUGGCAAUCUGUCUCAAGAAUAAAUUUGGAACAGAAAAUAAAAUCAGAAAUUAGAUUUCUUUAUCAAUGGUUUUCACCAAGAGAGAGGAGGCAGUAUAUAUACUCACCUUCCUAGGCAUCUUACCAAGGAGUUCCAUCAUCAAAGCAAGAUGAUCCUGCAUGCAAAAUAAACAAUAAAAAUGCAGACUCAGAUGAUAAAUCAAUAGUGAAGAUAUACUGCAAUGUUAGCUUAAAAUAAAGGAGAUUUGAAAGUGGUGAGAAAUCACUGGAUAAUCGUUGGGCUCCUAGUGGUAAUGUGCAAGUCAGCAGAUUUAACCUUUGGCAUUACUAAAAGCAUCGAGGUGUUUACCUCUAAAUUAGCUUGAGUUUUAAAAAUAUGUACUGAGAAUUUUUCUUAAAAAGCAGAAAAAACAACCAAGAUCAAGACCAUAGGUUAUCCAUGACAAGAUGUUUUUAUUAACAAAAAAACCCAUUGAACUAUCAAUAUGGCUUUCGUGUAGAAGCAAACUUUCAUCCUUUGUUCUCAUUUUCUCUUUGCCUCUAAAUUGCCUCUAAAGAAAUCCAAGAAACUUAACACCUCACAUGCAGGCAGGAAGAAAACUUUUAAAUUAUUGGAUUAUGUAACAAGACAACGCAUGAAGUCAAAAUAUUUCCACUACCUCAUCAUCACUGUAACCUUGUCCUUCUUUUGGAGUAAACAGCAUUUCACCAGUAGCAAGCUCAACAGCAGUACAAGCGAAUGACCACAUGUCAGCAGAAAAAGAAUAUCCUGAUCUAAGUAUGACUUCUGGAGCUCUGUACUGUCUAGUUUGAAUUUCUUCGGCAAAUUGCUUAUCCGACCAACAUGCGUUUCCAAAAUCCACGACCUUACAUCUGACAUCGAUUCCAUCCAGGGAUCUAUCUGGCUUGGGGGUUGUUCCUACCCCACCCAUUGAAGCCCUUCUUUCUGAUAUCCUAGCCACUGCUCUUCUUGCCCUUUGUUUGAGCUUCUUCUCAACAAGAUUUAUUGCUGCACCACCAUUUUGGUUCCCCUCUGGCCUUUCAAGAAUGGGUGUCAUUCCUGAUUUAACUGGGUCUUUGGAAGGAUUAAUGGUAGAACACAGGAGAAUAUUUUCAGGCUUUAAAUCUGUAUGUAUAAUUCCAAGCUCCCUAUGAAGGUAAUCAAGUCCAGUCAAAAUGCAUUUGCAUAUUUCCCGAACCUUAUUCAACUCAAGGCCUUUGUAGCGGUUAUAUUUGAUCAGCCGCAGCAAGCUAUCACCGAGAAAUUCCAGGACCAUGCAUAAAUGCUGUCCAUUUGGGCCUGCGUGCUUAAAGUGGUCUACUAAGCGUAUGACAUAUUUGCUAUUAGAGGCAUCACCAUCAGCAAUAGCAGAAAGAAUUUCAAUUUCGUGGAGCGCAGCUUGAGCAAAUUGUGGAGCACUUUUUUGGAUCUUCAGAGCAACAUAUCUCUGUAUAAGGAUGGAAAAAAUGAAAAACAAUGAUCAGCACCAGAAAAGCAUCCAGCCUGAUAUAAAUAGGACACUUUAGACAUAGACAAGUGAAUUUACCAAAAGUUUAUCUAAAACAUACCAUUAUGCAAGGCAAGUUGAAAUGGUUCAGAGCUCCUCAACAUAUACACAUUGUGCAUUACCUCAAAAAUAGAAACUAACAGGCUGCCGACUAAUGACAAUAUUGACAUUAUUAUUCUUUCAUCAUUUGUCCAUUUUAGCUAAGACUGACAAGAAACUGAAUUUGCAAACCACUUUAAUCCAAUUAAAAACUUGUUAUCAAGAAUUCAGGCAUCAGCACCAAAACUGCUUCACGAUGCCUAUUUACAUCACUAUAUUUAGUUUAAAUCCUCAGCAACCAGUGGUCGUGAUAAAUGCUAGAAAACAAUUUCAAAUGAUCAUCAAACAUAUUUGGGGAAGGGGGAAGGGGGGAGGGGGGAGCUUUUAGUCCGCAACCACAAGCACCAGUAACUUCGUACGUAAUUCAAAGCUAUUCCAACUGCUAAGGACCUCUAAGCUCACAUUUCCAAAUCCAAGAAGAAAUUAGCGCAGAUAUUAAGCAUUUAAGCCGCAUCACAGGUGAAACACCGACACAGCAUGCAUUGAAAUCUUCAGUGAAGCUUAAGAAAUGAUACUACUAAUACCUUUGUACCUAAUUUAGAUACGGCUGCCUGCCAGACGAAUUUAAAAUAUUUAAAACAAAAUAAAAGAACUAGAAUCCAGCUCUCUGAUCAAAUGAUUAAUAAGGAAAAGGAAAAAAUUCGAUAACAUUAUCAUAUAAGCACCUGAUCAUUUCAAAUAAUAAAUUCAUAGCAUAUUUCCGAAUUUGGCAGCAAACACAAAGAUUCCGAAUCAAAUCAGUCCACAAUAAUUCUAAAAAAAAAUUACUUUCAUAACUGCAGCAGCAUACACGGUGAUCUCCAUUUAAAUAAUUCUAAUGUCAUUCAGUUUAUGAAUUAAAAACUACAGUAUGCAAAUUAAGUCAAGAAUUAAACGGAAAACGUACAGAUGAUCGAGUAUCAUAAGCCAGCCAAACGGUGGAGAACUGUCCCCAGCCGAGUUUACGCUGAGCGAUGUAUCGUCCACCGGCGAACGAAUCGCCGACUCGCACCGCGUGGUAUCCACCUUUUCUGUAAGAGUCAAUUCCCUCAUCCUCAUCCUCCGACGCCGACGACGAAGAACAGGACAUGAUUGAUCGAUGUAUAUAAUUUACUGCAAAAGCCGAUCUCUCCAGAAAUUGAUCUUCUUCGCCUUCUUAUCUCCAAAUUACAGCAGAAAUGAAGCUGAAGCAAGCUAAAAAUCAGAAAAUAAUUUAGAACGGAAUGAAAGACUUGAAAAAAAAAGUGGGAGAGAUAUAUUCAGAGGAAACUGAAAAGAAGGAAAAGAACUGAUUUAUGUUGCUUUGCGAGUUAACUGUUUAGUAUGGCAUGUGGCCUUCAACACAAGGCUUCUCCUGUUUUUGCUCUUGUUUUUUCUCUCUUUUUUCCCCAUUUUUCUAAUAUAUAUUUUUUAUUUUUAUAAUUUUUAGUGGAACUAAAUCAGGGUGAAGGGGUUGAAUUUGCUUUCCGACUUUACCCAUUUUGGGUUAAUGUGGGAAGUCUACUUUUUAUGGUCCUUGCAUCUACGAUUGUAAAAUACUUCUAUCUACUCAAGUCAUACACCCAUAUAUUUUUACGAUGGAUUAUUUAUAGACAUGAAAAUUGGACUUGGCUCAACUAAUUUUUUGGAUCUGAUUUUGGCUUUUGAUUUUUAAAAAUCUCAACUCCUUUUAGAAAUCUGAUUUUAGAUUUUUGUUGGUCCAAAAAAAACUAAAAGUCAUAAUCAGGUUUGGGUUGUGUUUAUGGUUCUAAUUCUAGAUUAUUUUCUUGUGUAAAUAAAAAUACCCUCACAAUUUUAGUAUAAUCACUAAAGUGUCUACAAGUCAGAUAAUCUCUCAUUCCUCCAGUACUAAUCCCAAUCUCUUUUAUAUUAAUCCAAUUCUCGUGUAUGUUUGAUGGCGGAAUAAAAAAGGUGUAUUAGUUGGGGUGGAGCGAUCGAUGGGGAAGAUGUUGAUAUGCCUUAGCCAACCGCCAUCUGCUUUAAUUAAAUAGGGAAAACAAAUGAUUAAGGUGGAUACUAUACCAUUAAUUAAUGAUAAUCUAUGUAUGCUGAAGACACAGAAGAGCGAAUUCAAAUACAAAAUUUUGUUGCACGCAACGAAUAAAAGAUUGUUGAUGUGGAGUUUGUGCCUUUAGCUCUUUCCCCCCCCCCCCCCCUUUUUUUUCUAGGUAACAUUUUUUUUUCCUAACGAAGUGGAUGUUCGGGUCAAUCCUUACAGGAUCCGAUUAAUCCCACUCCGAUCCGGAAAAAGAGGCCCCAUCCCUCGAAUACAAUAAUCACAGAAUUCGGACCCUUACAGGCACUGGACACCAGUUCCUAAAGAGACUUGCUGAGACCAACCGAGUUAUCCACGAAGGACAGACAAUUUGGUGGGAGACAAGGAUUGAACCCCUGACAUCCCACCCCAUCAGGAGAGGUGGUGGCUACUAAAUUCAAGCAGGAGAGGCAAGGUUUUUUUUUUUUUUUUUCUAGGUAGCAUGGAUUGAUAUCUUUUGAGAUUCGAGAUUUUACCAGUACAGUCACUUCUACCCCGUAUUUCAUAGGUUCGUGCAUUUGCGGUAUUUGACAGACGACACUUGUGUAAUGGAGCCUAAUUCUGUCGUGUUAAAAUUUGGCUUGAUCCAUUAAUCAUUUCUAAUAAUUGUGUUGAGGUUGAUUGCACUUUUUCUGCGGCCAAUUAAUUUGUUUUUAAUAUGUUUAUGCUUGUUGAAGCAAGUUGAACCCAACUUCGAUAUUUAAUGACUAAGGUGAACCUUGACCGGAAUUAGUUGGAUUAGUUCAAGAACCAACCCUUAAUUAGCAUUUAAUGUAUAGUCUCCGCUUGAGUCAAGUGUCAAAUAAAAGAUCCCGUUUAGAUUAUUAUCUUUAACAUUUUUUUAUAAAAAAAAUAUUAUAACGAUUUGAUGUAUAUAAGAUAAAAAAUAUUAAUUUUUUUCUCAAAAAAUAGCAAUUCAAAUAUCCAACAUCAUCCUUGACUGCAUUAAAUAACAAACAAAGAAAUAACUUUAAAGGCCAAUUGCAGACUAGGACAGGAGAUUAUUUGCUCAAAUUUAUUUGCUUACAUCAUUGUUACAAUUUUCAAUACACCUUUUUAUCUUCCCAAUUACCUUUUUAUCUCAUAUAUAUCACAUCACAAAAAGUGUUACAAUAAAAAAUAUCUCAAAUAAUUUACAAUUCAAACACACUCUAGAGGUUUGUUUGGAUAGGAAGUUAUUUGAAAUGUUUAUUUGAUUUGGAAAGUAAGUUAUUUGAAAUAAUUACUGUAGCACUUUUUUUACGAUUUAAUAUAUGUGAGAUAAAAAAAAUGACUGGAAAUUGUGUAUAUGAUGCAAAUAAAACAAAAUCUGAAAUUUUUAUUUGAAAAUCUUGCAAUCCAAACAAACCCAAGAGUGUGACUCCCGAUAUUUAAAGGUCAUGAUAAAUCCUCGGUAAUUAUAUUGAACCGUCUAAAACUAUUUGUCCAUUUAAGCCACUCACCCCAAGGGGAGGGGGAGUGAACAAUUAGCUGUUCAAGUAUACCAGAACAAUAUAACACCUUCUGUAGUCCAUCGUAAAUUGUUUGUAUAAUAUUAUAGCAAAUAUGUUAAAAUUAAUUAUUAUUUACGUGAAUUCUAUAUAUAAUUAUGCGUAUCAAAACUUCGUAAAGUUGUUAUAUUCAUUCUUACAUUUAAAAAUUUUGAGCCAUCAUUGAAUUUGUUUGAAUUUUAGUUUAAUUUUUAUUUACUUGUAUCAUUAACAUACUUUUAAUUAUCUGUUUUAUUUCACGUAUAUUAUGUCAAAAAAGUGCUAUAAUAUAUAUAUUUUUUAAAGUUAUAUCCAAUAAUCUACUAUCCAAAUUAUUGUUUGGAACUAGCCCUUUGUUCUCAUCCUAAAAAGGGCGCAGCGUUGCAAUGAUUAACAUUUUGUAUUUCGAGUCAUGAAGGUCAAGUCACAGAUAGCGUUGAAGCUGAAGUGUAUAGCUUUUACAUGGCCAGAGCGGUCCUGAGCUUUUACACUUGGGGCCUUGAGCCAUAAUGACGAUUGGAAACGUGUUACUUGGAUAAAGUUUAAGAAUAAUUUAAAGCUCAUCUUGUUCAUAUCAGUGAUAAAUAGUCCAGGUAAGGCAGUUUUGGAGUAGUUAGUGCUAAGGAUUUUUUUAAUAACUGCUGUUGUGUGGCUUAAUCUAUUGCUCUCAUCCUUUAUCAACCUAUACUUUAUGCAAAAGAAAGAAAAAGAACAACGAUAGUGGGCAUAGUUAUGCACUAAUUGCUAAAGGGGAACUUCUCAAGCUUGAUACCACUGUGGCAUUACUAAGAAGAAAAUGCCAUAUUCUUAUGCUACAAAUACACUCUGUUUGGAUUAGGUUUUAUAUAUACACUACUAGUUUUUCAGAUAUAAAUCCAGAAUAACACUUCUAAAUGUAUCUCAAAAACACCUGAAUACAUCAAUCAAAGAUACUAAAAAAUAAUAAUUAGAAAAAAUUACGAUUCAUUUUUUUCCUCUAUUACCAUUCCUACUUCUGUCACCGCCGCUAUCACCAUCCCUCUUUCCAUUCUUCACCUGUCCAUUUUCCCUCUCCUUCUCCCCGCCACCUCCACAUUUGUUUGAUCUAUCUGUCAAAUCAAAGGACAAAAAAAAAAAAAAAAGACUUAAAUAGUGAUUUGUUUCUCUCUUUCAUCAUUUUUUUAUUUUAUUUUUUUACCUUUUCAUAUAUCUCUACACCUUUCUCAUUCCAACUAUCAGAUUCAGAAUUCAAAAUUUGAACUUGACAAUAAGAACAACUCUAAAAACCCUCCUUGAUGAGAAGAACUCUUCCAUCUUUUUAUUGUGGGUAAAAAACAAAAAAAUCCCCUGUGGUUAGUCUAAUACACAGAAAAGUCCCCCAUGGUUUCAAAAUAUACAACACGACCCCUCAUGCUUUGAACUAAAUUGUAAAGGUGACAAAAUCCGUUAAACUUAACGGAAAUGGACGAAAUGACCAAUAUGCACUGAUAUAAUUAAGCAAAAGACAGCUAAAAAAAAUCAUUUGUUUUAUUCUCUAAGUAGAGAGAAUUGAGGGUUAAGGGGUAGAAUAGGUAUAUUUGAUAAAAAUUAGGCAUAAAAAAUUUUUUUUAGGUUCCGUUAAGUUUAACGGAUUCCGUCACCUUUAUAAUUUAAUUCAAAAUAUGAGGUAUUGUAUUGUAUAUUUUGAAAUUAUAGGGGGUUUUUCUGUGUAUUAGGUUUAUCACAGGGAGCAUUUUUGUUUUUUACCCUUUUAUUGUAAUCUCACAAUUGAGAAUUUCUUGUCUCAUUAAUUUUUUAACCAUUACUCUCGACUCAUCUGACAUGGGCUGAUCUUGUGCAAGUUGGACUAUAGAAGACAAUUCGAGCAAUAGUCCAAACGAUAAACAAGUCCAGUCCACGACAUGGCGCUACGGACAAUACUGAACCAGACCAUUUUCUUUUUAACUCCCACCAAAAGAACCAUCGUCCCAAAAUUUUGCUAAAUAAUAGUAUGCAAAACCAUCCCUCCCAAUCACUUUUGGCAAUUUUAUCAGUCGAAUUUGACACUUUUGCCAAUCACUUUUGGCAAUUUAUCAUUAAAAGAGAUUUUAGGUGUUAAUUUUUGAAAAUACGUGAUUAAUUUGAAAAAUUAUUUAAGGGAUUCAAUAUUUGUGAUUGUGCGUAUUCCAAUGAUUUAUUAAGUGUAAUUUAAUUGUAUUAACUAGUGCUCACUAGAAAAAAUUAUUUCCUUUUUAUGUCUUUUUUUUUUCAAUAUUGAAGUAGUAGGUAGUACCCCUUCUUUAAUCAAAAUUAAUUGUCUAAUAAAACCAAGGAGCGUAUUUGGAAUUUUGGAUAGACAAUUUUUUGGAGAAACUUUUUUAGUUGCGAAAUUAAGUCGAUUCAUAAUUAUUUUUAAGAUUUUUAAUCAUUUUAUCUCAUACAAAAUUUUCAUUCCCACCACUCUCUUGCUAAAAAAACUGAUAUAAAUUACAUUUUUUCAAUCCCACUUAUUUUUUGUUAAAAAAACUGAUUUAAAUUACGUGACAAGAAGUGAUAUAUUAUCGUUACAGAAAAUUGUUGUUCCAAACAAUCUUCCGUCCAAACAGAGUUAGUAAAUUAAAAUCGCUAUCGCCCCUCCAGGUUCGGUCCCAUGGUUGUAGUCCCAGUUGGGGAGAGUCACGUCCAGGGAUCGAAUCCCGGUUCUACCGUGACCGGUGACGCUUGGGGCAGGCCUCUCCCAACCCGUAAUGGGAUUAGUUGGGUCGUACGGUAACCAGUCCACGGACCCAGAUACCCACUAUGAAGAAAAAAAAAAAAUCGCUAUCAUUUGCAAGAAUCCAUAUGAAAAUUUCCACUACUGCAAAAAAAAAAAAAACUGCAAUAAACAGGCUGUCCUACACUCCUACGCUCCAAGCCCAAUUUCCAACACUACCCCUUUGUACAACUCGAUUUCAUGCAUGCAUCAUGAUACAUCCCUUCAGUCACAUCGAACAGGAAACCCCACCAGCCACCCAUUACAUCAGUUCCCCAUCAGAACCAGGGGUACAUCUGUAAAUCUAUCCACCAUUAUUUCCUCCAAUUUGCUAGAUCCUUUUAUUUUUCUUCGCCUCGCCCGAAACAGAAAAUAAUCCAAAACAAACCCCCAGCCUGGGUCAAAUCUUUCCGUCAAUUGUCAAAAAUUAAAAUAAAAACCACGCACCUUCACCAUUGCACUGUGAUUUGUGCUCUCCAUCGAAAGCACCAAAUAAAAAAAAAAAAAAGAAAAGAAACCAAUCCCCUCUUCCAUCGCCGGCCAACCAACGGCGGCGCUCCGCCGUCAAUAUAUAGUCUUUCAACAUCAAUUCACAAUUACAUCAUUCGUCUGUUGAGACGGUGUCGUCGGAUCGUUUAAACCCUUGCUUCCUUCCAUUUUUAUUUAUGCGGAGAAAUGAAUUUGCAUGGAUUCUAAUUGAGUAGAUCCUUCUCGAUCUUCGGAAUCGAAUUGAGCUGUUUUUUAUUUUUGGUGACGAUUCGAUUGGGGAAAAUGGCGCAGAGUCAAACGCAGGCUCCGAAUAUGGAUCAAUUCGAGGUAUAUUUUAAGAGAGCAGAUUUGGAUCAAGAUGGUCGGAUCAGUGGAAGCGAGGCCGUGUCCUUCUUUCAAGCCGCAAAUUUACCUCGACAAGUACUCGCUCAGGUUCGUACUACUUCCCUACUAGGCUACUGCUGCUUAUGUUUUGUUCCAUUCUCAAUAUACUGAAUUUUGCUGCUCUUUUAUUUAUUUAUUUGUAAUUUUCCAAAAUUAGUUCUUUUUUGGUGUAUUUCUUGGUGGUUGUAUUUCAUAGUAAAAUCACGUGCUUUAGUAUAAAGUGUAAAAUUUGUGUUCUUGUAUGUGAGAACCGGGUGAGAGUGGGUUAACUGUGAUUUUUCAGCUUCGUAGCUACUUUGACAGAAGUGGAGCUCGGGAAAUAGGUGGUUAGGCUACUGGGAUAAGUUGCAAUCUUUUAUAAAUUAUGGCUGUCAUCCCUAAAGGAAGAAAGGUAGAAAAAGAGAGAUGUGCUAAUAAGGAGUAUAUCGAGAUGCACAUGGUGCAAGAAAGAUCGAAUAUGGCAGUGUGGAUUCUUUGUGCGCUCUUGGAGAUAGACCUUAAAGCUUGAAAUUUGUGGUUUUUACCCUUUUUCUGAAAUUGGUUUUUGUUUUCUCAUAUUUUUAGUCCUUGAUGAGAGAUGUAAAUGGUGUGGUGAAUGGUUUUUCUGGAUUUGAAAGUCGUAAAUAGUAGUAUGUUCAAAGUGGUGAAUUCCAGAUUGCUAAAGCCACAAAUGUUGGCAUGGAUGGAAAGGGAAUAAGGGAUGCAUCUUGCUUACCUUGCUCCCUCCUAAAAGAAAUGGAAACACGCAAUAGUCUUUGCUUGAUGCUACAUGUAGGAUAAGUUUGUUUGGUCGAUAUAAGGUUUGCAAUAAAUGGAACAGAGAAAUAGGUGCCUUUGACUUAGUUAUGUGCUCCUCUUGCCCUUGCGGUGGCAAAUAUCUUCUUCUGUUCAUCUCUUUAUAUGUCUUCCUUUUCACAAGUGUGCCCAGCUACCCACCCCCCCGCAGACACAGAGAUUUUGCUUAAGACAUGCAUGUUUUUCUGAUUUCACUUUCGGUCUAAGUGAAUUAUGUAGCAUUACUGUAUGAUAAGGUUAUGUAAUGCUUGAUUCCACGAGAUUUUAUUUUGAACAGCAUAUAACUGUUUAAUAGAUGUGUAUACUUUCGUGUAACAGUUGGCAAUAUUUGAUAUGUGACUAAUAUUCAGGAUUUCAUGUGAUUUUAUCAGCUUUUGAUGGUUUUGUCUUAGGUAAAACUCUAAUACGCAGAGAGUCCUAGAGGCUUGUAUGGGCUUAUUUUAUUGUGUAUGUAAAUGUCCCUCAUUAUUUUUCAAUACUCUUGCUAGCACCUGCUUUUUUCCUGUUAAAAAUCAAUACGGCACUAUUGUUUACAUAUUCCUCUCUUUCUUGCUAAUGUUAAUUACAGUUUCAUUUUCAAAUUUUUGUAUUUUUGUGUUAAUGGUGUAAAGUUAAUCUUAAGUAUUCUAUCGUAUUAUUUUAGAUAGAGGACUACCACUAUUAACACAUCGCUCAAAUACUGUCCUUUGUCUGUUCACAAUAUCAUGGAAGAGAGAAAUAGGUAAAUACUGAGUUUGCUACUUAUUUACGAGUGGGAACAGGUAAGGACUAGCAAAAGUGGUUUGUUAUCUUAUUUUAGUAGUGCUGGAACUUAUUGCUGACUUCUUUCGAGUGUGAUAUGUGCUUAUGAUUGCACCUGUUGCAAAACCACGCUCCAAAAUGUGUAUUUAGUAUGUUAGGACUCAUAUAUACCAAAGUAAUUGUUAUUUCACCAUGUGGUUCAUGGUGCAUAAUCAUGCCCAUGCUUUGUUAGAAAGUUUAAGGUAGUGAAAGUGAUAAUUGCUAGUUGUGUUCGCUUUUCAUGCUACAUUUAUUAUUAUUUUUUUAAUGCGCAAACAGUGAUCUGGUGUUCUGUGUCUCAUGGAGCAUUCUUUAUUAAUGUAACUUCAACUUAAUUUUACUCAUUCAUUUUUGUUUGGUUGCCAUGUUCCAGUUAGUGAUUUGGAUUCUCAAACUGCAGACCUGCAAUUACCUUUAUUAAACAGAUCGUUUUUCUGAAGUGUAAUAAUAGGAACAGGUCAAUUUCAGUUUUAUUUCUAUUUGCAUUUAGUUCUGCUUUAUGGCCUAGGCAGGGCCAGUCCAUUAAUGAUAUUGAGGUUUGAGCACCUUUUUGGGU
rnacentral:lncRNA from 1 species